rnacentral:lncRNA from 1 species
GUGGUAUUUCUGGAUCCUUUCCAAGGCAGUAAUGGUAUAUGCCUUCUCUCAAAAUAUGUGGUGUUUUUGGUAUGAGGCAUAGUGAUAUUGCCUUCUCUCUCACCCUACUCUAAUAAGGUUUUGAUAUCUGGAGCUCAUAGGUGGGAGACAGAUAAUACAUACUUACAAGACAUUUAUUGCAUAGUCAAACCAUGGAUCCAGAAGAACAAGUCAAUAAGUCAAAUCAAGAUGUGCAUGUGUGGCGAGUGAAUGGUGUAUGGUGAUGAUGGUGAUAACAAUGGUGAAAGUCUAAUUCUACUUUUGCUCUUUUAAGGGGAUACAUACCUUUCUUGCAUUUUGAAGCUUUUUGAGGAGAAUGAGAUGCUCUAUAUUCUUCUUUUCCCUUAGGUGGGUAUCUUGUACCCCUAAUUCUACUGUCGGACACUUGUCCAUUUUUACCUCUCGUCUCACUUUUUCUUUUCUUUGAUGUUCCGGGCACUUGCCCCAUUUUAUUUCCUCGUAUCCUCUUUUUUUAGAGGACUCAUCUCCUGAAAUAAUAUAGCAAGUGGUAGUAACCAAGGUAACUCAAGCAUUUAUUUCAUAGGGAAAAAUAGAAAUGUUUUUGGCUAUUCUCUCCCGAAUUAGGAGUAGAAUACUUUUGGGUGGCUCUGGAGAUGGAAGUGAGUGGAUGUAUGUGGAUGCGUACUUCCGGAGUAGAAGCAGCAUGUAUGAGUAAACGUCCAAGUGAAUCUUGAUUUUAACCGCAUGACAAGCUUCUAAGGGUCUACACAGCUUGACCACACUCAAUGCUCAUAAGCAGUAAAAAGUAAAUGUGUGGCUCAAAGUCUAGCAAGCAUGUAUAUAUGGUUGUGGUAGGAAUUUAAACUCUCAUCAUACAUGAACUCAUCAUGUGUUAUUUUAAAGAUUUUCAAAGAUAAAAUUCUCUAGAAUUCUAGCAUCUCUAGGAAUAGAUAAACAACAGCUCAACCUUCUCAUAUCAUAUCCGUUAACAACUUAGACUUUAGAUCAAGUACUCUUCCCACAAGUUCAGGAUUAGAGCAGGUUUAAAUUAUAACAGUUAUGCCUAAACUUGAGAGAGAGCUCAAACUUGAAAACUAGGUACAUGGCAAAGCAACUAUUUAUCAUAUCCAUGUAAGAGUUUAUCAUUUAUGUUUAGUUUAGCCUAGAUACUUUAUUUAUUUAUUUAGCAAACUAUGCAAAGAUAUAUAUAAGCACAGAAAUUUUUAUUUGGGUUUUCAUGAUUAUGCAUCUUUUUAUUAUUUGAGGAAAGUAUAAACGCAAGUAGAAACACUUAGCUGGAUAAAUGGGGGUGCUCUCCCCCAAGCUGGAUUUUGACGUAAUUUCUUCUGAUGUAGCUAGCAGGUGGCGGAGGUGUAUUUGAAUGUCGGCAGUACCUUGACAGCGAUUAUUAUGUCCUCCACCGGCUAGUCUUCUUGAUCGUUGAAUUCUAUGGAGCUUGAAUAGACAACAAAGCUUUGUGGAACUGGUUAAGUGUUAGCAUAAAAUCUCUUACCCAUAAUCAUGUUGAGUUUCCUCUAAUAAAUAUUACUCUCUUUGGUAGAAUCAUAAAUUUAUUUUUAUAUUUUCAUUUUUAUAGGACAGGAAUAUAUUUAUUUUAUUUUUGUGCCACCACAGUGAAUGUACUUACGGGUUUUAUGCCAUGAGCAUACUCACAUGGGGCUUACUAUUUCUAACAUUUUUAUUUUCUUUUCAAGAUAGCAUGAACCUGAUUAACUAAGCAAACUAUAAUUGAAUAAUUGAAAGGAAAAGGAUAACUACCAAGUUUACCUCUUGGCAAGGCGUUCGGUGUUUUUAAGUCCUCCGAACGGGACUCUCCGUUUUCUCAGUCAUCCUGGGAUUCGCUGGAUGGCGUAGUCGGUGGUUUCGGCGGCGCCUCCUCUUCAUGUAUAACUAUCUUCUCUCUCCACACCUAACUCGGUGCUACGGUCUCCUCAGGACAGUUCUGUUCAAGUUGUAUGUCUUCAGACCUUACCACUUCUCCUUCGUAGUCUGCCCAUCCGUCCUUGAUGAUUUGCCUCCUCUGGUUUCGGUUGCGUCGCCUUCUUCUCAUCCUAAUCUGCUUAGAAUCUUCAACUAUAUAGUUAGAAUCAUUAAAGUAGUGGCGUACCUUCUCAGAGGGGAAGUGCAUGUGGACUUCUCCGGUUCCAAUAUAGAUGAUAACUUUGAUAGUGUUGAGAAACGGUCUUCCAAGGAUGAUGGGUGGAUCGUACUUGUCUUCUCCCAUGUCAAUAACCUAGGUCAUCCUUUUUGGUCAGGAAUGGUGACUUAAGUCGACAAUCUGGACCUCCUUGAGCUGCAGUGACCAUCUUAGAUGACUCGGUCCACAUUUGCUUGUUCCUGUUCCUCCUGUUGAUCCUCUUCCUUGGUUCAUAUCGGGAUUGCUCUGAAAUUUGUGUAGUUUUGUUCUUGAAGGAAAAUGUCUCCUUCUUCCCCUUGAUGUAGAAACUGAUCUUGGCAGUACUAGCGUAGAUGACAACUUCCGAGGUGUUCAGGAAUGGCCUCCCUAGGAUGAUGGGUGCCCUCUCAUCAGUACCAGUCUCUAUCACCAUGAAGUCUUGAUUUUGUUGAGGACGGUUGUAGUAGUAGUUGUUGUUGUUGAUGUAGUUUACGUCCUCAAGCAUCUCAGGGCAGUGAUUGCCUAAGUGUCCAGUAUCUCCAGUGUGUUUGUGCUCAUAAAUCCAGGUUCUUCACUUGGUGGAGUCUGGGAGUUGUAAAACUCCUUCGUAUUAUGCUCGAUGUGUACCUGCUCAUAGAGACAAGGCAGAGAUCAAGUGCAUGGGCUCUGUUGGUGAAAAAAACCAACAGAACCAAAAGUGUAUUUGUUGUUCUCUAACCUUAAGUAUGGUGAGCAAGACAAAGUUGAUUGAUAAUAAGAUCAUGAGUGUAGCAUUUAAAACAUUUGUCAGAUCAGAUUGCUCGACCUAAUGGAAAGGUAAUCUGUCUAUAUUUAUCUUUAUAUCUUCCAAAGACUGAAUGUGCAAUAUUUUAGCUUAUAUGAUUAGGAGUGUGGGAUCAUGAAGGUAGUACUAAGAACAAAGAUUAAAGGACUAAACAUGUUGAAUUAAUUUGGUUGGUUUAUGUUUGUCUCUUUAUUCAUGUGAAUGCUAGAACCAAGGAGAGCUUAUAAAAGCGAUAGUCAAGUACCUUAAGAUGUUACCUUACUUGAAGAGUGAUGGUACAGUAUCACCUUGUGGAAGCUUUCCUUUCUUAGUGGUUGUGCAUCGUGUUUGUGGCACCCUCCAUGAAUCAUCUCUUGUGAGCUAUGCCUUCCUUGUGUAAAUUGUUAACCUUCAUGUGUCUCUCUCUUUGUCUCCAAUGUGAGUUUACCUCAGGACUUCCUAGGUCGAUAUUGAAAGUUUCCCUGCAGGGGUUAGUCCAACAAAAUAUCCAAUAUCUACUAUAGCAUACUAUUGGCUCAAAAAUCAACCUAGACGCCAUGUCUAAUUUGAUUUAGAAGGGCAUUUUAACCUGAGCACCAUGCCUAAUUUAAAAUCCCUUGGAAGUAAGAUCAUCAUUCCUAAACUAAGCACCGUGCUUAAUUAAGAGAUAAAUGAAACUACUCCAAACCUAGACAUAAACUAAAGCAAAUAAAGGUAGUAUGAGAGCAUUUAUAGAGAUCUACUCAAGUAGAGAAGAAGUAGUGUGAUUAGUAUUUAAUAAAUCAAGCAUGUCUCAAAGGUAGGGACAACCAACAUAGCAACUUGGCAAAGGAUGUUUUUAUGUAAAGUACUCCCCCAAGCUUGAAUUUUGCAAAAUUCAAGAUUGGAUGAAUUUAAUUCAAUGUUGCAUGAUGAUUGGUUGGGCAUACCUUGUGCUUGUCAUUCAUCCGAUCUUCUUGCUCCAAUCCUGGAAAGGUUAGUGACAAGAAUACUCGAAGGAAUAUUUUUACAAUUAUCUUUAUAUGCUCCAUACACAAGGCAAUGUUGCAAAUAAUUAGAAGUUCAUGUUACGAUCUGAUAAGUGCUUGUUUUAGGACACUAAGCUUGUCCUUGGGAAACCAUCAAUUUGUGUCGGCGAAGUGGUUUCCCCUCCAACGCUGACCUAUAUCAAGAUCAACUCAACGAGAUCUGCAAUAUUUAUUAUAGACAUAUACAUCGACAACCACCCUUUUAAAGUUUUUAUAAAUAGAAAGGAAGAGGGGGUUGGAUAUCUCAAAUGUGGUGAUGUUGGAGAGACCAAAAGAUUGGGAAGAUGUUGCAUAUGAGCAUGGAGUAAACGAAGUGGCUAUGAAAUAAAUUCCAUGCUCAUUAAUGUUAUCUUUGUCUCUAAUCUGAAUGUUCAGAGUUUCUCUUGGAUUGGUCCCGUCUAUGUCCUUUUCUAUAGUUGGAUGAAUCUCAUAUUCAAGGGGAGUCAAGAACUCACCAUUUGAAAUUGAGGCAAAGUCAGAAUCCAUUAAGGCUUCUUCCUUGUCCAUCCAUUCAAUGGUGAUAGCACAUGGAUUUUUAAUGCCCUCUAGCCGUUGAUGUUGCUCUUCUCGAUCCUCCUUGUGGUCUUGGUGACUCUUAUGCAUGGGAUGUCUAGAGAGAUUCAUAGGAUCAUCGGGAGGUUCAAGAGAAAGAGCAUAGUAGAAAUUAUUAGGCUCAAGGAUGGGUUUAAAGAUAGGUUCAAAUGAGUUAUCAGAAGUGGGCGUAGAAGGGGAGAAGAUGAGAUUGUCUUCUAAAUGGCUUCGCUCUCCUUCUAUUGCAUCACUUAAGAUGCCAUCCUUGAGUAUUUCAAGAUGUCUAUCAAAGGGAUUGGAUUUGAGAUGCUUUCUAAGAGAUCCCUUCUGAGGAAGGUUCAGACUAUAUGCACUCAAAGGUCUCUUAUGAACCAGGAAGUUUAAGCUCAUCCCAAAAUGAAUUUCCAAAGGUAGAAUUUAUUCUUCCCUUAGAUGAUUUUGGAGCACUACUAGUUUGGGUUGGAUAGCUAAAUCAUGGGAUUGAAAUGUUUGGAAAUCGGCUAUUGAAACUUCCUUUCCUCGUCUGGGAGAUGAUUCCUUCUCUAUCUCUAGGAUUUUUUUAUGAAGGCUAGUGCAAGAAGGAUGUCUACGAAUGAAGACAUACCUUGCUUUACUAACAGAUAAAGAAAGAAAAACUCUACCAAAGGUUAUAUGAUUAAGACCAAUGUGAAAAUAUUGAGGAAAAACAUGGUCUUGUAGGUCUAGGUUUAAACCGGAAUUUAUAGAAAGAUUAAAAGAUUCCCUAGGUGUAGCUAAAAGUUCAUUAUCUUCUUGAUUAAAAGAUAGGACCUCGGCUAUAGAAAAGGGUUGGUUUUGACCUAUUGCAAUCAACUUCGGACACAAAUCAUAAUUAGGGGAAAAGAAAGGACUUGCUGACUCCCAUGGUCUAUGGCUGGUCUCCGAAGGUGCAAAAAAUUCAAUAAUAGGUGUGGAAUUUGAGUUAUCCAUAAAGAUGGAAAAAAUAAAAAGAUAAAAGAAUAAAAGUAUAAUACAAGAUAAUAGCAAGACUUAAAGUUAUCUCAGCAAACUGUCUUUCUCCCCGGCAACGGCGCCAAAAAUGCUUGUUGAUAUUUGGUAACGCCAUCAGGAAAUGAUCCGCAAGUGCACGGAUAUCGGUGAGCACUUCACCCGGGAGGUUAUCCAGAGUAUCGUAUUUAUAUUUUUACCACUAGGAGAAAGCGUGUGUUGACGGUCCUUAAUGCUCACAUUUAACCAUCAACUAUUCAUCGAAAAUGAUCCAAAUGCAACCAACACCCAGACUUAGGGUUUUAUCUGACAGAAUUCGACGAGUUUUGGUGUUUGUCUAUUUCUGCAGGGGGUUAUCAGGAAAUACGUAGGAAAGGCCCACACAUCGGGUUUACAUAGAGAUAUUAACAUGCCGCGCAAUUUUCUGUCAUCUAGAAGACUCCAGAAGCCACGGGAACGAACGGGAAGCCGAGAGGGCUCAGGGACAGGGUGCCCGCCCUACUCCUUAGGGCGCCCGCCCAGCUAUAGUGUCCAAUUCGGACCCGUUUCGCGGAUUAUGCUCCACCGACCUAAGGGAUCAAGGAAAACCAUGCAAUUAAUGUUGGUUUGAUCCGACGGCCCAGAUUCAUCUGAAAAGACUAUAUAAGCAAGGCCCCCUAGCCCCUGGAGAGCAUACCUCUUCUACAGAAUCAAAGUUAGGGUUUCAAUUCUUCAUCCAAAUAGAGAGGAUCCCUCUAGUUCAUCUAGUUCUAGCUCUAGUUCAUCUAGUUCUAGUUCAUCUAGUUCUAGUUCUAGUUCGUUCUAGUUGUAGUCUAGAAAAUAGGGAGAGAGAAGAGGAGAGCGCAGGAGGAGCCGGAUCUGUCGGAUCUUCCUCAAUAUUGUACUUUUGCAGCAACUGGUUCGUUCUUCAUCAUUCUCCAGGUUAUUCAAUUCAUAAUUCUUGAGUUCUUUAAUUACUUUUAUUUACAUUCAAGUUAUUUAUUGGAUUUCCGCUUGCAUCAAGUGCUAGAGUCUUUAUAACGCUAGAGUAGUAAUUAAUAGAUUAGACGUGGUGUUUAGUCUUGCAAUUACCUGGAAUUGCACCCAAUCAUGCGGAUUGUUGUGGUAGCCCUAGGGUAGUGACAGCCCUAACGGUCGACGUAUUCCACCUAGUUCGGAUCGGUGUUUGUAGGACCGUAGUCAGAGCUUCCUAGCCCCUUCUCAUCUCUUUCUGUGGUUAGUGUUCUGAUGUCCCGAAAUAAAUAAUCUUUGAAGUAUUUCUUGAUUCUUCGAUCAGCUAGAGAACUCUCAGGAAACUUCCUCUCUUCCCACCAAAAAUAAUUAUAUAGUUAUCCUUGGGCGAUCUUGAUUCUUAUUUAGUACACUCACGUUCCCUAUGGAAAAUCGAUACUCUGGAAUACUCCCGGGUGAAAGCUACAUUGGUAUCCGUGCGCUUGCGGAUUUUUCUGUUUGCGUUUAAAAUACCCAACAGCAUGCAUCUGACUAACCAAAUGUAUUGCUACUAUCCUUUAGGCUACAAAGAAUGUGAUUCAAUGUGAGCGAUGUAUAGAGAAGACUGCAACCGUAGUCUCGUUCUAACCAUGGUAAGGAUGAUCUACUGUUCUAUUGGGGAGGCUCACAGAAUCUAGACACCACAGAGGAUGUUCGACCCGUACCUAUAAACCCUACCCGUCCUGCUAACGAGAUGUGGGCUGCAAAGGUAACUCAGAAAUGUCACGUUCCUUGCUACUACCACGGUCCAGCUAGUCAGGGGAUAUCUAUGAGUACCCUAGCCCAAACACCACGUUUACGCUAGCAAUGAUUACUCCAAACUCAACCGGAAGAGAUUAAAGUAAACUCAUAAACCAAAGAACAAUAAAACAAGAACUUACUAGAAUUUAGAAGUCGAAUAACGGAAGAAUCCUAGGAGCAAGCCUCGGGUUAGGAGAACUUGAUCCCGCAGGUACAACCUCGGAGUAGACACCGACAGGCCGGGCUUCCUCCGAUCUUCACCUCCACUCUAUCUCUCUCAAUCUAGUAGAUCUAGUCUACUCUCACAUUGGAUGCUAGGCCCUAAGUCUAUUUAGAGGAAAGGUUAUCCUUCGAGGGCACCUCUCAACUCUAUGAUGAACUUUUUCUCCUCCAGGGGCCAGGGGGUCUGCUUACAUAGUCCCCUCAAGUGAAUCUGGGUCGUCAGAUCAAACUGACAUUGAUUGAACGGUUAUCCUUGAUCCUUUAGGUCGGUGGAGCGUAAUCCGCGAGACGGGUCCUGAUUAGACUCUGCACCAAGGCGGGCGCCCUAGGGGGGAGGGUGGGCGCCCUGCCCCCAGGCCCGAUCACCUUCCCGUUCGUUCCCGUGGCUUCUGCAGUCUUCUAGAUGAUAGAAAAUUGCACGGCACGUUAAUUUCUCUAUGUAAACCUGACGUGUGGGCCUUUCCUCCAUAUUUCCUAAUAACCCCCUGCAGAAAUAGACAAACACUAAAACUCGUGAAAUUCUGUCAGAUAAAACCCUAUGUCUGGGUGUUGGUUGCAUUUGGAUCCGUUUCUUUAUUUAUUUGAUGAUUAUAUUUGGUACUUAAGGACCAUCAACACCACUCUUAGCUAGUAUGAGAAUAGAGGGAAGAGAGUGAGGAGUUCCCCGAGGAGGAGUCCCGGCUUGUCGGGAGUCUCCUUCCACGAGCGCCUCAACGGAUGUUUGUCUUCUAGUAAGUCUUCCUUCUAGUUGCAUUUCAUCUGAGUACUUCGAGUAUUUACUUUAUGUUUCGUUUAUUUUAAGUAUACAACCGGCCUAUCUAGCACAUUGCUUUGCCUUGUGUGAAGUGCUCGAAACCUUAGUUGGGUCUAGAGUAGUAGAAUUAGUGUAGACGUGGUGUCUAGACUAAGUCUGCCCUUGUGGACUUCUUGUCGCACCUGAUGAACGCCAAAUGCGAAGUGUGACAGGCCUCUACUGGACAUUAGAGUUCUCUUCAGUGUGUUGUUAGGCAAGUUGCAAGUAAUAGUUGGCCUGCAUGGUAGCUGCUUAAGGAAGUGUUUCGCCACACCCUUUUCACCUAUCGACCAUAGUAGGAAGGGAGUUAACUCUCAAGUAUACUUAGGAUAGCUUAGCCAGAAGCCAAAUACUAGAAAUACCUCUCUACCCAAUCCUAAGCCCUUUGAUCAUCAUUCGAUGACUCAAUUGGUCUAGUUAUUCCACUUCUCAUUCCCUGUGGAAAAUACGAUGCUUGGAAUACUCCUGGUGAAGUGCUACAUUGACCACCGUCCGCUUGCGGUAAAACCGUUUGCCACUUCUAGUAUCACAUAAGCAUUUCUAAUGCUGUGCCAAGGACUGACAAUCCUAGAUAGUGAUGCUAAGAAGAGUCAACAAGUAUUUCUAGCGCCGUUGCCGGGGAGCGGUAGCUGGUUUACUAGACUCAAAGUCGUCAAGUUAUCCUUGUUUGAUUAGAACCUUUACCUAUCCCAUGGAUCAAACAACCCUCUUUGACUACGCUACUCCAUCGGGCGCUGAGCUGGAGCCACCUAGUUCUUCUCUGGCCAUUUUGGCCGUUCGUUAUGAGCUUCGCCCAAGGCUCAUAGCGAUGGUUCAGGAGAAUCCCUUUUUAGGAGAAGGAGAUGAAAAUCCCUAUACUCACCUACGUGAUUUCGAGUAGCUUUUCUCAUGCAUUCACAUCCAAGGGAUGAGGCGAGUUACCCUUAAGUGGAAGCUCCUCCCGUUCUCUUUGAUGGGAAAAGCCAGACGGUGGUACUCCCGCUAUGUAGGUAGUGUAGACGGAGAAUGGGAGAAGCUGCAAGCCAAGUUUUGCCUCACGUACUUCCCUAUUUCCCGUGUGGCUUGUCUCUGUAGAGAGAUCCUAAACUUCAAGCAAGAAGAGAAGGAAACUCGAGGUGCGGCUUGGGCGCAAAUCACAGACUUAGCAUCCUCAGGACCAGACUUAGCCAUAACCGAGCCAACGCUAAUGCAACAUUUCUACCUCAGUCUUAGGUAAAGUUCCGCACAAUUCCUUGAUCUAGCCUCGAAGGGAGCAUUCCUUCAUUUACCCAUUAGUGAAGGUAGGGUGGUCCUAGCAACCAUACUAGACAACACCCACUAGACUGAUGACCAUAGUGAUGCCCCUGAGGAAGGCCAAGCCCCUAGGGAUGAAACCUCGUCAGCUGACACUAUAGUAGCCACAUCACAAGCUGUCGAGCCUGAACCACAAUCCCAAACACCUCCAAGGGAAGAAGUGAUUCAUCCCUUGGAGUAUCCUCUUAACAUCAAGACGGAUCUUUUCAACAAUUAUGGCAACAUCUCAAAACAACCUAUGCAAAAGAGAAAUCACAACGCUCCAAAAGAGCAAGUAUCUUCUCACUUAGAGGCUUGUUACCUCAAAGCAACUGCUCAGGAGCUCAUGACUAUUAUGAGCAAUGAAUGGCUGAAGGAGUCAGAAGCAUCGUCUCAUGUUAUCAGGCUUCUCUCUCGCUUCACAACCAUUCGUUGUCUCAUAAGCAGGACUCUCGUGGAUUCUCUUUAUGACCCAGCUGUAGGAGCAUCCGUAAUGUCUAAGAAUUUAGCAUCAACACUCCUAGGCGAGGAACCAUUAGUUUCGACCAAAAAGUUUCUCAAGUUACCAUCUGGAGAAUUGGUCAAGAGCUGCGGCUUUGCAAAGAACAUGUCAGUUGUCAUUAACAAGGUCCAUGUCCUCUUGAAUUUCUACAUAUUUGAUGUAGAGGACAUCGACCUGUUAAUUGGGCACCCGCUUAUGAGAUUCAUUGACAAAUUUCAUAGCGGGCACCUCAAGGGUUAGAUAGGGAAGAACCUAAACCUGUCCAUCCCCUAUGUCGGCUCGACUAACGCCAAAAUUGAGCCGAAACCCGAAUCUGACCUGAUGGAGGAGGUGAUGGUAGCCACUCACCUAGAGGCAUCACAGCCUAAUCUAGAGGAGGAAGCUAAGGAUUACAUCGAAGAGCUAGAAACAGAACUAGAUGAACCACUAGAGCUAGAUGAAUCUGAGCCACCACCUAAGUCCUCCAUAGAACUUAAGCCACUUCCCUUGGGCUUAAGUAUGUCUUCCUUAAUGGCGAUAGGGAUGGCCCUAUCAUCAUUAGUGAUCAGCUCUGAGGAAGAGGCCACUAAACUUAUCAUCGUAUUAGAGAAACACCGCUUUGUCUUAGGAUACUCCCUCCAAGACCUUAAGGGAAUUAGUCUCGCUCUCUGCACUCAUCGCAUACCCAUAUAACCUGAUGCUACACCUUCUAGGGAGCCUCAAAGAAGGCUAAAUAAUGCGAUGAGGGAAGUAGUGAAGAAAGAGGUCUUGAAGCUCUUGCACGUGGGCAUAAUCUACCCUGUUCCAAACAGUGAGUGGGUCAGCCCCGUACAAGUAGUACCUAAGAAGGAAGGAAUGACGGUAGUUAAAAACAAUAAUAACGAGCUUAUCCCACAAUGAACCGUCACGGGAUGGAGGAUGUGUAUAGAUUACCGAAAACUCAACAAGGCUACAAAGAAAGAUCACUUCCUGUUACCCUUCAUUGAUGAGAUGCUAGAACGGUUUGCAAGGCAUUCUUUCUUAUGUUUCCUUGAUGAUUAUUCGAGUUAUCAUCAAAUCCCGAUCCAUCUCGAUGAUCAAAGUAAGACAACAUUCACAUGCCCCUAAGGGACAUAUGCAUAUAGGCGCAUGUCUUUUGGCCUAUGCAAUGCUCCCGCUUCCUUCCAAAGGUGCAUGAUGUCCAUCUUCUCAGAAAUGAUUGAAGAAAUCAUGGAAGUCUUCAUGGAUGACUUUUCUGUCCAUGGGAAGACUCUUGACGACUGUCUUGAGAACCUGGACCGUGUCUUACAAAGAUGCCAAGAGAAGCACUUGAUCCUGAACUGGGAGAAAUGUCAUUUCAUGGUUCGGGAGGGGAUAGUGCUAGGACAUAGAGUGUCCGAGCGUGGGAUAGAGGUGGAUAGAGCUAAAAUAGAGGUCAUAGAAUAGCUCCCACCUCCCACAAAUGUUAGAGGCGUACGCAGUUUUCUUGGUCACGCAGGUUUUUAUAGGAGGUUUAUACAUGAUUUUUCACAAAUCGCUAGACCUUUAACAAACCUGUUAGCUAAAGAUGCACCCUUUAACUUUGACGAUGAGUGCUUAGAUGCUUUUUACUACCUCAAGAAAGCACUUAUCUCUGCACCAAUCAUACAACCCCCUGAUUGGUCGCUUCCUUUUGAGAUAAUGUGUGAUGCUAGUGAUUAUGCUGUAGGUGCUGUCUUAGGACAGACCAAAGAUAAAAAGCAUCACACUAUCUCUUAUGCUAGCAAAACACUAACAGGCCCACAGCUAAACUAUGCAACAACAGAAAAGGAGCUUUUUGCUAUAGUGUUUGCUAUAGACAAGUUUAGAUCUUACUUAGUAGGGGCAAAGGUGAUCGUUUACACCAAUGACGCUACACUAAAAUACCUGCUCACUAAGAAAGAUGCUAAACCAAGGCUAAUAAGAUGGAUCCUGCUACUCCAAGAAUUUGACUUAGAAAUAAAAGAUAAAAAGGGAGUAGAGAACUCGGUCGCAGACCACUUGUCUAGAAUGCAGAUCGAGGAUAAACAUGAUCUACCAAUCAACGGCUAUCUUCUGGAUGACACACUCCUCAAGGUGUCAGCCGCCUACCCGUGGUACGCAAACAUCGUCAACCACAUGGUUUCUGGUUAUGUGCCACUAGGGGUAGAUAAGAAGAAGCUGAUCAAGGAGAGCCAAGUGCACCUUUGGGAUGACCCCUACCUCUAUAGGGUCUGCUAGGAUGGUGUGCUAAGAAGGUGUGUCCCUAUGGAAGAAGCCGUUCAAAUCAUUGAGAAGUACCACAGAGCUGAGUAUGGAGGUCAUUAUGGUACAUUCAGGACUCAUGCCAAAAUCUGGCAAAGUGGAUUCUAUUGGCCUACCAUGUACCAAGACACUCAAGACUUCAUCAAGAGGUGUAAGAGGUGUUAGCGACAUGGGAAUAUCAAUACCUGUGAUGCCAUGCCUCUCACAAACAACCUUCAAGUGGAGCAAUUUGAUGUCUGGGGAGUAGACUACAUGGGUCCAUUCUUUCCAUGUCAAGGCUAUGAGUACAUCUUGGUGGCAGUGGACUACGUGUCCAAAUGGGUCGAAACAUUGCCUUGCAGAGCAGCUGACUCAAAACAUGCCAAAAAGAUGUUCUAAGAGAUCAUCUUAUCAAGAUUUAGCACCCCAUGGUUGGUCAUUAGUGAUGGGGGCAGCCACUUCAUUGACAGGAGAUUCCAUGAAUUCCUAACAGAAGUGGGGAUAAGGCACAAUGUGGGUACACCUUAUCAUCCCCAAACAAGCAGACAAGCAAAAACCUCAAAUAAGCAAAUCAAGAACAUUCUGCAAAAGACUGUCAAGGAAAUGAGGACAAGAUGGGUGAACAAACUCCAUGAUGCACUUUGGGCAUAUAGGACCACAUACAAGAACCCAUCGGUAUGUCACCAUACCAGCUUGUAUACAGAUGGCGGUUCCAAGGUGAUCAUAGGGCGGUUCCAAGGUCGGUUUGAUCCAACGGUGGAGAGGAAGGAGCCCGUGGAUCGCUGACAUGGCGUGGGAGUAGCCCCUACUCCAUCUCCCCCAAUAAAUACCCCCUUAGAGAGCCUAGUUAAUCAUGAUUUAUUUUAGGAAGAGCUACUUGUUGAUAUUUGGUAACGCCAUCAGGAAAUGAUCCGCAAGCGCACGGAUAUCGGUGAGCACUUCACCCGGGAGGUUAUCCAGAGUAUCGUAUUUAUAUUUUUACCACUAGUAGAAAGCAUGCAUCUGACUAACCAAAUCUAUUGCUACUACCCUUUAGGCUACAAAGAAUGUGAUUCGAUGUGAGUGAUGUAUAGAGAACACUGCAACCGUAGUCUCGUUCUAACCUUGGUAAGGAUGAUCUACUGUUCUAUUGGGGAGGCUCACGGAAUCUAGACACCACACAGGAUGUUCGACCCGUACCUAUAAACCCUACCCGUCCUCUAUAGAAAAUUGCACGGCACGUUAAUAUCUCUAUGUAAACCUGACGUGUGGGCCUUUCCUCCAUAUUUCCUAAUAACCCCCUGCAGAAAUAGACAAACACUAAAACUCGUGAAAUUCUGUCAGAUAAAACCCUAUGUCUGGGUGUUGGUUGCAUUUGGAUCCGUUUCUUUAUUUAUUUGAUGAUUAUAUUUGGUACUUAAGGACCAUCAACACCACUCUUAGCUAGUAUGAGAAUAGAGGGAAGAGAGUGAGGAGUUCCCCGAGGAGGAGUCCCGGCUUGUCGGGAGUCUCCUUCCACGAGCGCCUCAACGGAUGUUUGUCUUCUAGUAAGUCUUCCUUCUAGUUGCAUUUCAUCUGAGUACUUCGAGUAUUUACUUUAUGUUUCGUUUAUUUUAAGUAUACAACCGGCCUAUCUAGCACAUUGCUUUGCCUUGUGUGAAGUGCUCGAAACCUUAGUUGGGUCUAGAGUAGUAGAAUUAGUGUAGACGUGGUGUCUAGACUAAGUCUGCCCUUGUGGACUUCUUGUCGCACCUGAAGAUGCCAGUUGCGAAGCGUGACUGGCCUCUACUAGACAUUAGAGUUCUCUUCAGUGUGUUGUUAGGCAAGUUGCAAGUAAUAGUUAGCCUGCAUGGUAGCUGCUUAGGGAAGUGUUUCGCCACACCCUUUUCACCUAUCGACCAUAGUACGAAGGGAGUUAACUCUCAAAUAUACUUAGGAUAGCUUAGCCAGAAGCCAAAUACUAGAAAUACCUCUCUACCCAAUGCUAAGCCCUUUGAUCAUCAUUCCAUGACUCAAUUGGUCUAGUUAUUCCACUUCUCAUUCCCCGUGGAAAAUACGAAGCCUGGAAUACUCCUGGUGAAGUGCUACAUUGACCACCGUCUGCUUGCGGCAAAACCGUUUGCCACUUUGUUGACGGUCCUUAAUGCUCACAUUUAACCGUCAACUAAUCAUGGAAAAGGAUCUGAAUGGAACCAACACCUAGACUUAGGGUUUUAUCUGACAGAAUUCCACGAGUUUUGGUGUUUGUCUAUUUCUGUAGGGGGUUAUCAGGAAAUAUGGAAGAAAGGCCCACACGUCGGGUUUACAUAGAGAUAUUAACGUGCCGCACAAUUUUCUAUCAUCUAGAAGACUCCAGAAAUGACGGUACCGAAGCGGAGGCCGAGAGGGCUCAGGGACAGGGCGCCCGCACUAGUCCUUAGGGCGCCCGCCCUCCUAUUCUGCCCAAUCAGGGUACAACUCGGGGAUCAUGCUCCACCGACCGAAAGGAUCAAGGAUAACCGUUCAAUCAAUAUCGGUUUGAUCCGAUGGCCCAGAUUCAUCUGAAAAGAUUAUAUAAGCAAGGCCCCCUGGCCCCUAGAAAUCAUACAUCUUCUACAGAAUCAAAGUUAAGGGUUUCAAUUCUUCAUCCAAGUAGAGAGGAUCCCUCUAGUUCAUCUAGUUCUACCUCUAGUUUAUCUAGUUCUAGUUCUAGUUCAUCUAGUUCUAGUUCUAGUUCCUCUAGUUCUAGUUCUAGUUAGUUCUAGUUGUAAUCUAGAAAAUAGGAAGAGAGAAGAGGAGAGCAGAGGAGGAGGAGCCGGAUCUGUCGGAUCUUCCUCAACAUUGUACUUUUGCAGCAACUGGUUCGUUCUUCAUCGUUCUCCAGGUUCUUCAGUUCAUAAUUCCUGAGUUCUUUAAUUACUCUUAUUUACAUUCAAGUUAUUUAUUGGAUUCCCGCUUGCAUCAAGUGCUCUAAUCAUUGCAACAUUAGAGUAGUAAUUAAUAGAUUAGACAUGGUGUUUAGUCUUGCAAUUACCUGGAAUUGCACCCAAUCCUGCGGAUUGUUGUGGUAGCCCUAGGGUAGUGACAGCCCUAACGGUCGACGUAUUCCACCUCGUUCGGAUUGGUGUUUGUAGGACCGUAUCAGAGCUUCCUAGCCCCCUUCUCAUCACUUUCUGUGGUUAGUGUUCUGAUGUCCCGAAAUAAAUAAUAUUUGAAGUAAUUCUUGAUUCUUAGAUCAACUAGAGAACUCUCAGGAAACUUCCUCUCUUCCCACCAAAAAUAAUUAUAUAGUUAUCCUUGGGCGAUCUUGAUUCUUAAUUAGUACACUCAUGUUCCCUGUGGAAAAUCGAUACUCUGGAAUACUCCCGAGUGAAAGCUACAUCGGUAUCCGGCGCUUGCGGAUUUUUCUGUUUGCGUUUAAAAUACCCAACAAGCUUUCUGGCGCCGUUGCCGGGGAACGGUAGCUGUGCUAGUUUUGAACCAAGUCGUCCGUGUAUCCUUUUUCUUUUCCUUUUUUACCACACUCACCUUAUCAUUUUCACCAUACCACAUGGAUUUCACUCUAAGCAUUAAUGAGCAUGGAAUUUAUUUCAUAGCCACUUCAUUUACUCCAUGCUCAUAUGCAACAUCUUCCCAAUCUAUUGGUUUUUCCAACAUCACCACAUUCGAGAUCUCCACCCCCCUCAUCCUUUCUAUUUAUAAAAAAUUUAAAAGCGCGGUUGUCGAUGCAUAUGUCUAUAUUAAAUAUUGCAGAUCUCGUUGAGUUGAUCUUGAUAUAGGUCAGCGUUGGAGGGGAAACCACUUCACUGACAUAAAUUGAUGGUUUCCCAAGGACAAGCUUAGUGUCCUAAAACAAGCACUGAUCAGAUUGUAACAUGAGCUUUUAAUUAUUUGUAACAUUACCUUGUGUGUUGAGCAUAUAAGGAUAAUUGUAAAAAUAUCCCUUCGGGUAUUCUUGUCACUAACCUUUCCAGGAUUGGAGCAAGAAGAUCGGAUGAAUGACAAGCACAAGGUAUGUCCAACCAAUCAUCAUACAACAUUGAAUUAAAUUCAUCCAAACUUGAAUUUUGCAAAAUUCAAGCUUGGGGAAGUCAUGCAACAUGAAAACAUCAUUUGCCAUGUUGCUAUGUUGGUUGUCCCUACCUUUGAGACAUGCUCAAUUUGUUAAAUACUAAUCACACUACUUCAUCUCUGCUUGAGUAGAUCUCUAUAAAUGCUCUCAUGCUACCUUUAUUUGCUUUAGUAUAUUUCUUGGUUUGGAGUAGUUUCAUGUAUCUCUUAAUUAAGCUUGGUGCUUAGUUUAGGAAUGAUGAUCUUACUUCCAAGGGGUUUUAAAUUAAGCAUGGUGCUUAGGUUAAAAAAGCCCUCCUGAAUCAAAUUAGACAUGGUGUCUAGGUUGAUUUUUGAACCGAUAGUAUGCUAUAGUAGAUAUUGGAUAUUUUGUUGGACUAACCCCUGUAGGAAAACUUUCAAUAUCGACCUGGAAAGUCCUGAGAUAGACUCACAUUGGAGACAAAGAGAGAGACACAUGAAGUUUAACAAUUUACACAAGGAAGGCACAGCUCACAAGAGAUGAUCCAUGGAGGGUGCCACAAAGACGAUGCACAACCGCUAAGAAAGAAAAGCUUCCACAAGGUGAUACUGUACCAUCACUCUUCAAGUAAGGUAACAUCUUAAGGUACUUGACUAUCACUUUUAUAAGCUUCUCCUUGGUUCUGGCGUUCACAUGAAUAAAAGAGACAAACAUGUAUGAUUUACAACUCUAGAUUAACCAACCCAAUCGAUUCAACAUGUUUAGUCCUUCAACCUUUGUGAUCCCACACUCCUAAUCUUAUGAGCUAAAAUGUUACACACUCAAUCUUUGGAAGAUAUAGAAAAACAUAAAUAUAGAUAGAUUAUCUUUCCAUUAGGUUGAGCGAUUUGAUCUGACAAAUGCUUUAAAUGUUAUACUCAUGAUCUUAUUAUCCAUCAACUUUGUCUUGCUCACUAUGCUUAUGGUUAGAGAAGAAUAAAUACAUUUUUGGUUCUGUUGGUGUUUUCCACCAACAGGGCCCAUGCACUUGAUCUCUGCCUUGUCUUUAUGAGCAGGUACACUUCGAGCAAAAUAUGAAGGAGUUUUACAACUCAGACGCCACCAAGUGGAGAACCUAGAUCAACAAGUACACACACUGGAGAUACUGGACACUCAGGCAAUCACUGCCCUGAGAUGCUUGAGGACGUAAACUACAUCAACAACAACAACUACUACUACUACUACAACCGUCCUCAACAAAACCAAGGUUGGAAUCAACGGAGGCCUAACUACUCAGAGAGGCAAUCUAGGACGCCCCGUCAUCCCGAUCUCCAUCGGCAUGGUGGACUUCCCAGAAGCACUGUGCGACUUUGGCUCCAGCGUCAACAUUAUACCCAGGGGAGGCCAUUCCUGAACACCUCAGGAGCGGUCAUCCACGCUAGUGCUGCCAAGAUCAGUUUCUACAUCAAAGGGAGGAAGGAGACGUUUUCCUUCAAGAACAAGACUACACAAAUCUCAAAGCAAUCCCGACAUGAACCAAGGAAGAGGAUCAACAGGGGGAACAGGAACAAGCAAAUGUGGACUGAGUCAGCUAAGAUGGUCACUGCAGCUCAAGGAGGUCAAGAUCGUCAACUCAAGUCGCCUUUCUUGAUCAAGAAGGACGACCCUAGUGUUCCAAGCAUCGAGUGCACAAUCAACGGAUAUUCUUUUCAGAAGACACUCUACGACACCGGAUCUGACAUCAACAUAAUGGCCGCAGUCACUUAUCAGCUCUUGCAUGGAACCAUGCCCCUACAACCAACAUACAUUCAGCUCCAGAUGAUUUUAAGGUUAUUGACAUGGGAGAAGACGAGUAUAAUCCACCCAUUACCAUUGGGAGACUGUUCCUCACUACCGUCAAAGCAAUCAUCUACAUUGGAACCGGAAAAGUCCAUAUGCACUUCCCCUCUGAGAAGGUACGCCGCUAUUUUACUGACCCUAACCAUAUAGUUGAAGACUCUAAGCAGGUCAGGACAAGAAGAAGACGACGCAACCGUAACCAGAGGAGGCAAAUUAUCAAGGACGGAUGGGCAAACUAUGAAGGAGAAGUGGUAAGGUCUGAAGAUGUACAACUUGAAUAGAACUGUCCUGAGAAGACCGUAGCACUGAGUCAGGUGUGUAGAGAGAAGAUUGUUGUACAAGAAGAGCAGGCGCCACCGGAACCACCGACUACGCCAUCCAGCGAAUCCCAAGACGACUAAGAAAACGGAGAGUCCUGUUCGGAGGACUUAAAAAACACCAAACGCCUUGCCAAGAGGUAAACUUGGUAGUUAUCCUUUUCCUUUCAUUUAUUUAAAAUAGUUUGCUUAGUUAAUCAGGUUCAUAUCAUCUUGAAAAAAAAAUAAAAAUGUUAAAAAUAGUAAGCCCAUGUGAGUAUGCUCAUGGCAUAAAACCCAUAUAUUCACUGUGGUGGCGUAAAAAUAAAUAUAUAUUCCUGUCAUAUAAAAAUGAAAAUAUAAAUAAGAUUGUGAUCCUACUUAAGAGAGUAACAUUUAUUGAGGAGGCUCAACAUGAUAAAGGCUAGAUAUUUAUGCUAACACUUAACUAGUUCCACAAAGCUUUGUUGUCUAUUUGAGCUCCACAGAAUUCAAGGAUCAAAGAAGACUAGCACACGGAGGACAUCCUAAUCGCUGUUAGGGUGCUGCCGACAUUCAAAUACACCUCUGCCACUUGCUAGCUACAUCAGAAGAAAUUACGUCAAAAUCCAGCUUGGGGGAGAGCACCCUCAUUUAUCCAGCUAAGUGUUCUACUCACGUUUAUACUUUACUCAAAUAAUAAAAAGAUGCAUGAUCAUAAAAACCCAAAUAAAGUUUUUGUGCUUAUAUAUAUAUAUAUCUUUGCUUAGUUUGCUAAAUAAAUAAAUAAAUAAAGUUUGCUAUGAACCUUCAUGAUAAGCUCUCACAUGGAAAUGAUGAAUAGUUGCUCUGCCAUGACUAAUUCUCAAAAUUGAAAUCUCUCUCAAGUUUAGCCAUGACUGUUAUAAUUUAACCCUGCUCUAAACCUGAACUUAUGGGAAGAGUACUUCAUCUAAAGUCUAAGUCGUUAACGGAUACGAUAUGGGAAGGUUGAGCUGCUUUUUAUCUAUUCCUAGAGAUGCCAGAAUUCUGAAGAAUUUUAUCUUUGAAAAUCUUUAAAAUGUUGCAUGAUGUGUUCCUGUAUGAUGAGAGUUUAAAUUCCUACCACAACCAUAUAUACAUGCUUGCUAAACUUUGAGCGACACAUUUACUUUUUACUGCUUAUGAGCAUUGAGUGUGGUCAAGCUGUGUAGAACCUUAGGAGCUUGUCAUGUGGUUAAAUCAAGAUUCACUUGCACGUUCACUAACACAUGCUGCUUCUACUCCAGAGGUAUGCAUCCACAUAUAUCCAUCCAUUUCCAUCUCCAGAACCACCCAAAAAUAUUCUACUCCUAAUCUGGGAGGGAAUAGCCAAAAACAUUCUCCUAUUCCUGUUUUCCCCUGUGAAAUAAAUGCUCAAGAUAUUUUGGUUACUACCACUUGCUACAUUAUUCUAGGAGGAUGAGUGCUCUGAAAAAAAGUGAAUACGAGGAAAUAAAAUGGGGCAAGUGCCCGGAACCUCGAAAGAAAAGAAAAGUGAGACGAGAGGUAAAAAUGGACAAGUGUCCGACAGUAGAAUUAGGGGUACAAGAUACCCACCUGAGAGGAAAGAAAAAGAAAAAAAAGAAGAGCAUCUCAUUCUCCUCACAAAAUUUCAAAGAGCAAGAAAGGUAUGUAUCCCCUCAAAAGAGCACAAGAAGAAUUAGAAUUUCACCAUUGUUUUCACCAUUAUCACCAUCAUCACCAUACACCAUUCAUUCGCCACACAUGCACAUCUUGGUUUGACUUAUUGACUUGUUCUUCUGGAUCCAUGGUUUGACUAUGCAAUAAAUGUCUUGUAAGUAUGUAUUAGCUGUCUCCCACCUAUGAGCUCCAGAUAUCAAAACCUUAUUAGAGUAGGGUGAGAGAGAAGGCAAUGCCACUAUGCCUCAUACCAAAAAUACCACAUACUUUGAGAUAAGGCAUACACCAUUACUGCCUUGGUAAGGAUCCAGAAAUACCAUAAAAGAGAGACUAGAGAGAGUCAUACAAGGAAUCUCUGAGUUUUAUUUGAAAAUCUGCAAAAACUCCAGAGCUAUAGUUAAUCGAAGAACAUGAGACAUGGCGCUUGACUAGACUGUUCUAUCUUUUAACUGCUCAAGACACAAGUGACAGUUACAAGCCCCAUGGUGUAAGGUAAAAUGAGUAAGUUUAGAUCUUAACAGUUUACCCUAACCCAGAGAUGAGAUCUUGUUUGAAUGCAUGUGUAUCCUUAAGGCAUAAAACCACUGCAGAAACUCUUGAGUCCAUCUUUGCUCAGGGACGAGCAAAGGUUAAGCCUGGGGGAGCUUGUUGAUGGUCCUUAAUGCUCACAUUUAACCGUCAACUAAUCAUGGAAAAGGAUCUAAAUGGAACCAACACCUAGACUUAGGAUUUUAUCUGACAGAAUUCCACGAGUUUUGGUGUUUGUCUAUUUCUGCAGGGGGUUAUCUGGAAAUACAGAAGAAAGGCCCACACGUCGGGUUUACAUAGAGAUAUUAACGUGCCGCGCAAUUUUCUAUCAUCUAGAAGACUCCAGAAGCCACGGUACCGAAGCGGAGGCCAGAGGGCUUAGGGACAGGGCGCCCGCCCUAGUCCUUAGGGCGCCCGCCCUCCUAUUCUGCCCAAUCAAGGUACAACUCGGGGAUCAUGCUCCACCGACCUAAAGGAUCAAGGAUAACCUUUCAAUCAAUGUCGGUUUGAUCCAACGGCCCAGAUUCAUCUGAAAAGACUAUAUAAGCAAGGCCCCCUGGCCCCUGGAGAUCAUACCUCUUCUACAGAAUCAAAGUUAGGGUUUCAAUAAUUCAUCCGAGUAGAGAGGAUCCCUCUAGUUCAUGUAGUUCUACCUCUAGUUUAUCUAGUUCUAGUUCUAGUUCAUCUAGUUCUAGUUCUAGUUCUAGUUCCUCUAGUUAUAGUUCUAGUUAGUUAUAGUUGUAAUAAACAAAAUAGGAAGAGAGAAGAGGAGAGCGGAGGAGGAGGAGCCGGAUCUGUCAGAUCUUCCUCCACAUUGUACUUUUGCAGCAAUUGGUUCGUUCUUCAUCAUUCUCUAGGUUCUUCAAUUCAUAAUUCCUGAGUUCUUUAAUUACUUUUAUUUACAUUCAAGUUAUCUAUUAGAUUCCCGCUUGCAUCAAGUGCUCUAAUCUUUGCAACAUUAGAGUACUAAUUAAUAGAUUAGACAUGGUGUUUAGUCUUGCAAUUACCUGGAAUUGCACCCAAUCCUGCGGAUUGUUGUGGUAGCCCUAGGGUAGUGACAGCCCUAACGGUCGACGUAUUCCACCUCGUUCGGAUCGGUGUUUGUAGGACCGUAGUCAGAGCUUCCUAGCCCCCUUCUCAUCUCUUUCUGUGGUUAGUGUUCUGAUGUCCCGAAAUAAAUAAUAUUUGAAGUAAUUCUUGAUUCUUAGAUCAACUAGAGAACUCUCAAGAAACUUCCUCUCUUCCCACCAAAAAUAAUUAUAUAGUUAUCCUUGGGCGAUCUUGAUUCUUAAUUAGUACACUCACGUUCCCUGUGGAAAAUCGAUACUCUGGAAUACUCUCGGGUGAAAGCUACAUCGGUAUCCGUGCACUUGCGGAUUUUUCUGUUUGCGUUUAAAAUACCCAACACACUUCUAGUAUCCCAUAAGAAUUUCUAAUGCUAUGCCAAGGACUGACAAUCCUAGGUAGUGAUGUUAAGAAGAGUCAACAACGAUGUCCACCAUCCUUUGAAAACUGAAACAAUUUCCAUCAACAAUCGGGCACGAACUUACUAGUCCAUCGAUCACCAUUACCAUGACCUAACUCAAAUGAUUUGUUGCUGCAAAACACACGUUAGUCAUAGUAAUCAAUAUUGUCAUAAUCACCAAAACUCAUUAGGGGCCUAGAUGCUUUCAAUCUCUCCCUUUUUGGUGAUUGAUGACAACAACCUCGAGUAUGUGAAAGAAUGUGAGGUUUUCAACAACUUGGUUCAUAUAAGCAUGUGACAAUAAGAACAAGAGAACUGGUCAUACUUAUAUCAACCAAGCCAACAUCCUGCAUCCAAAGAUGUAAGUCGAGUGCAACGGGAGAAAACAAGUGGCACAUAUGAAAUUGGAGUAAAACAUGGAAUUUAAGCAAUAUGAGCCAAAACACAUGACAUAGAGAUAUAAACAUUUAGCACACAGGUCAUGUCUAGCAUCCAUUAAGCAUAACUGAAGAUUAUAUAUCACAAAGUGCAUAAAAGUAAAUAUGAUGCAUGAAAGUAUCACACAAAGAAACAAAGAACCAACUCACAAGCUCCCCCUAAAUCUAACAUACUCUAGCUCCCUCUCCCCCUUUGGCAUCAAGCAGCGGAUGAGUCACGAGGAACAGCCUCAAACUGAGCCACAUCAACAUCUAAAUCCUUGUUAGUUGAUCAUUGGGAAGUUGUGCUAUGCUGAGCAUCUACCUGACCCUCACUAUCAUCACGUGCAGAUGAAGUGGUUCGGGUUGGCUCAAUAGGCUCUGUAGCUGUCUGCUGGGCUAUCUCAGUCUCAAUCUGUGUCUCAACUCUAGUGGAGGUGGCUAGCAAAAGACUCUAUAGCUAUCGUUGAAGCCUCUAGAAUAGUUGACGACUGGACAAGCUGCUCAAACAAAGCCACUAAAGAAGAUAGACGCUCCAUAGUAGUGACAGGAACUGUGAAAGCUGCUAGAGCCUGCUGAGGAGGAGGUGUUGGCAUACUGGUGAGUGCAACUAUAAGAGAACGACAACUCCUAUCCAACCGAAGUCUCACAAGCUAAGUGCAAUGUAGUGUGGGACUAAGGAGUAAAUCCUACAUGAUAUAGAGUAAACUGCAGUGUCUACCCAAAAAUCAUAGAGAUAGCACCCUGAGAAACCUGGUGUGGUGGAGUUGUGAAAGGCUGACUCUGAGUUGGUAGCUGUAGCGGCUGCUGUGACUGACUCUAAAGCCCACCGGGCUAUAAUGCUAGAGUCAAGAUGGUAGAUGGACCGACAGGAGGAACACCUGGAAGUGGAGUCAGUGAAACUAUAACCCCUAUCGCUGCCACUAGAGCUGCUCAUAGUGCUACCUGCUGAGCCUGAUAUGCAAGCUACUGCUCCUGGAAAGAAAGAAGCUGUCGCUGGAGCUUGUCCUGGUGAGCCUGAAGUGCAGCAGCUAUGGCGGUCUGCUCUCUAUCACGUCUGGCCUACUCCUGUCAAGUAUAGCAAGGAAUGAUAGGUCUAUGGAGGAAGAGCUGCGAGCCUCAUGGUCGUGCGUUUGAGGUGGGAGAUCAGGGAUGGGCUGGUGAUAAUCAUCAUCUGAACUAUCCGAGGUGAACUCAAACUCACCCUCAGCCUCUGCAUCUGCCACUACUCCAAUAGUUAUGUCCUGCUCCUCCUCUGUCUCGAGCAUUGCCCCUGAACUACGUGUAGCCCAAGAUGUAGGCGCUGGAGCUGGUGCUCAUGGUGCUGUUGGUGGUACUGGUGCUCUCAAGUCAAUGUGAGUCCUCAUCAUCUGACGGAGAUCAUAAUGAGGAAACACUGUCACUAAGUCUAUCAGCUCUCUCUGAAUCUGAGGUGGAAGUGGAUCAACACGUGUCCGAAGAAUCAAGAAUGUGAGCCAAUGGGCAUAGGGAAGCUGAUGAUGACCCUUGAACCCCUCAGCAAUAGUGUCCUCAAUCUUAGAGACCAUGAAAUCCCAAAUAUCGAACUCUCCCUAUGAAACCAAGUGAGUGACCAACCACGGCUAAAUGUGAGUGAACCCCUCGCGAAACCUAGCCUAGGCAGCAAAGUCUUCCUCAUCACUAUAUCAAGGAUACGAGCAUGGCGAGUGAGAGAAGUCAGUGCACGAUUUAAGCCCUCUAUAAAAGGUGGGCGAUAACAUGGAGCAACAAACUUGAUAGAAGGAAGCAAACCAUCGUGAGGAUGACGAGGAUGCUGAAUCCCUGAAUAGCAUAGCUCAUGGAUCCUCGUCUCUAACUCCCGAAGCCUAGUGUCUCUCUGGCACACUAAGCUGUGACUCUGUAAUCUAUCCCUGCUAGUGCAUAAUGAAUGAAGCUACGAUUAGGGGCCAUCCAGACUAUAGCAUAAAACUCUCUGACCCAAUCCUCCACAUAUGUGCCUAGAAGAGCCAGCAUCCAACAAGACUUGGAAGAUAAGUCAAAAAGGGUCUGAUAUCCUAUCCAGCAAUGUUGGCCAAGUACUCCAAGUCAACAACCCUCUGCUCUCAGAUCUGGACAUAACUAUUUACAUAAGCCAUGUACAUGUCCUCCUACACAACUAUGUAAAACCUAGGGUGUGCUCGCUCAUCACGUGUGGCAGGAAGCCAGGUAGGUGAAAGCCCAAGUUUGGUUUUGGUAAUUAAUGACACCGAGUUGCUAAUGCUUUGUGCUUAAGUGAAUUGAGAUAGGCAUAGUGUCGACGAAAGCUAGUCGGCAGUCUACCUUGGGGUAUACCCACGGUAGUAGUUUAUCGGUAGACGGUGCGCAAACUACGAACUCGAUGGUGACGCAAGACACGGACAAGCUUUUUAUCCAGGUUCGGCCGCCGAGUUGGCGUAAUACCUACGUCCUGCGUCUAGUUGUAUUGAUUUGUGCUGAGAGAAUAUGAUGUCCUAGGGGGGUCCCUUGCCCCUCCUUAUAUAGUCUGGAGGGCAGGGUUACAGAUCUAGAAACUAAUCCUAGUCGGUUACAAUUGCCAUAGAUAAUUCGAUAUCAAUUCCUAUUCUAACCGACUAGAAUCCUGCUUGAUCUCCACGUCUUGUUUCCUUGCGCGAAACUCCGAGCUGUCGGAUCAAGCCUUGAACUCGUCUCGUAGUGGGCCAAGCUUCCUGGCUGAAGUCUGGCCGUAAGGGUAUAGGGGUUUAUACCCCCACAGCUAGUCCCCGAGCACCAUGUAUUGUGAUGCAAUACGCCGUCUUGAGCUUCUUCGAUCAGCGAGGCUUGUCGUCUUCAAUAAGCGGGAAAAUCGCCCAAACAGUUGCAACGGUUCCUUGACCAACUCGAAAGACAGUUGAUCAACAUUGACAUCGAAGAAGCAGGUUGUUCGAAGAAUGCAUGGUGCUCUAAAAAAAAAUUUCUUUCCUGGUGAAGUGUGCCCACUUUGCCUUUUUGAAAGGUAGAAGCAUCAAAAAAGCAAGCAAAUUCACCGCUAGGUGAAGUGUGCCCACUUAGUCCCCGAGCCUGGUAGUAGGUGGCGUAGGCACGUGGUGCCAGGGUCAAAAGAAAAUUCCCCAAAGUAGUUUUGAGACUAAGAUGCAUCGCUAGAUGCAUCGUACCGAUGUAGUCCCCGAGCUUGCUGGAAGGCGAAGCAUGAGCCUUGUAGCAAGGUCUAAAAAAUUGAAUUUACCAGUCCCCGAGCAUGUCAUGCUCGUCUGCAAUUGAAGAGACCAAUCGACCAGUCCCCAAGCACUUAGUGUGCUUCUUGGAAUUAUAUGUUGCUAUACUGUACGACCAGUCCCCGAGCGUCGAGUGCUCAGUGGUCGGUGCACGCUUUAAAGCUUUGAGCUGAUAGACUGAGCGACCAGUCCCCGAGCGUCGAGUGCUCGGUGGUCGGUGCAGUCCUUGAAGUUCUGAGUUGAUAGACUGGGCAACCAGUCCCCGAGCGUCGAGUGCUCGGUGGUCGGUGCAGUCCUUGAAGUUCCGAGCUGAUAGACUGGGCGACCAGUCCCCAAGCGUCGAGUGCUCGGUGGUCGGUGCAGUCCUUGAAGUUCCGAGCUGAUAGACUGGGCGACCAGUCCCCGGAUUGUUGACUCACUGGCGUAUGUGUCUUCUUACUUUUGAAAAGAUCUUUCCAAUUAAAGUUGACGUGACGGGGUCUCCUGACGAUAUGUCAGACGGAUGCAUGAAAAGUUGCACCUGGCAACUGUACAACCGCUCUUUGCAUGGUUUGAGAGAAGGAAACCAUCAAUUGGUACGAAAACUCCGCCGCAUUAAUUGUCUAUAAUCAUUGUAAACCGAAACGCCGCGUCCGCCGCAUGGCCUGCCCACUUCCCGAGAAUACAGGAAGUGGGAGAGGUGGGGUCGCAGGUUUAUAAGGGCCUAAUAGGUCUGCCUGUACUGCUUCGCCUGCCAUUGCCUUCAAACCUUCCGCUCUCAUCUUCUCCAAUCUCCUGCAUCUUCCUAACUCCAGCCCACAUUCGCACCUCUAAUGGCGAAGAGCGACUCCAGGAAGAGGGCCGAACUGAUGGCCAAGGAGUGGAAGAAGUCUCGCAGCACCACAAAAUCUCUUGGUGACCUCGUCGAUAUGGGGCUUCUGCACGGCGCAGAGCUCGGCGGCUGGAGGGCACCGGAGGGGGAGAGCUACCCCGACCCUCGCGCCGGUGAGAUCGUCGUUUUUGAAGAUUUCGUUAAGAGAGGCUUUGGUGUUCCUGUUCAUCCUUUUCUUCAAGGUCUUCUUUUGUACUAUGAGAUCGGGAUUUGCAAUCUGCACCCGAACUCAAUUCUCCUUAUUUCCACCUUCAUCCACCUGUGCGAGGCCUAUGUUGGCAUAGAGCCGCACUUCGAUCUUUUCCGGUAUCUUUUCUGCUUGAGGAAGAAGGGAGCAGUUGGAGGCUCCAAGGUUGCAGGUGGAGUAUACCUCAACCUUCGUGAUGGGAUGAAGAAUCGCUACCUGCACUGCCCAUGGAACACUUCCUUGACCGAAUGGUACAGGAAGUGGUUCUACAUCAGGGAGGAACCGGGUAGCUCCACGUUCUGCGACGUGGGAUACGUUCCCGAGAAGAGGGCGAGCUGGACCGACCGCCCGGAGUUCGACGGUCCAGUGGCGGAUCUCAUGAAGCUGAUCGACUGGUCGCGCCUAGACGGGCUUGGCGUGGUCGGCAACUUCAUUUGCCGCCGGGUGAUGCCCUGCCAGAAGAGGGUGCACUCGGCGUAUGAGUAUGCCGGAAGCGCAGAUCCGACCAGGAUGCGGUCGGAGAUCUUGGAGAAAGCGGAGGUACAACAGCUGUUGAACGAGCUGUUUAACUUCGCGGACGGGGGCUUCGUCCGUGGUAGUGAUCGGGUGCAAGCCUUCAAAUUAGGACGACCAGCACCAAAGGUAUGUAGCAGAUUCUGUUUGAUCAUUCGUAUAUCGUCUGCAGUUGACUCAUCUCUGUUGCUUUUGCAGGUCGGUGAUGUCGACCGGUGCACAGUGUAUGUAUCACUGGCACCGGGGAUGGAAAAUCCUGCGGGAGAGGUCCCGCCAGAGGAGGACACUGCUCGGUGUACUCAUUACACCAGUAGUGAGGAAGACCAAGCCCGCCCCGUCCCGACCUCCGAGGAGAGGGUAGCGGGGAAAAGGCCAUUGCCGGCAGAUCCCUUGCCGACACCGGGGCUGCCAGCAGAUCUACCGGCGGAGAGCAGCCAAGCACCGAAGCGUCGUCGGCUCGUGCGGAUCGUCGACGAUGACGACGACGAGGAGGCUGCACCGUCGUUGGUCCGACGGCCUCGGAGCCGCCCAGACACUGCGCCGGUCGCCACUGAUCGAAUGGCCAGCGGCGCCGCUGCCCCGCAAGCUGUCGAGAUGGGGGCACAGGUGCCGUCCGGCCGGGCGAGGAGGAGGUUCACCGCGACCCACCGUCGGUCAGACCUGUAAGUGUUCGACUUACGUAUUUUGGACUCCUCUUGUUUUGUUUUUUUUUUACUUUUGUUCCUGUAGUGCGGCAUCGGAUGUCGACCCUGGCCAAACUGCCAGCCAGGGACCGGGCGAGCCUGCCCGCGGUUCUGGGGAUGCGGCCCCCCAGACCACAGAGCAGCCAACAGCUGCAGUCGCGCCUGGGAGCACCGAGGGGCUCCCGAGCGCGGCGCCGACUACAACAAGCAGCCCGACCAGGGCUGGAGAGGUUCCCCCAACUGACUCCUCAGAGAAGGGAAGAUCUCCGACCGCUCCUCCUGCCGGGGGGAGUGAAGUCCCCCCGCCGCCCCGAGCAGGAGCCUCUUCGGCUGCGGGCUCCCCAGGUCUGGUCCAAGGGCCAGUAAUACCUGGGGCCACCACCGGGGGUGAAGCAGCACAGGAGGAGGAAACCCGGGCGGCCUCCGAUGACGAGGUGGAGGAGAUCGAGGGUCGUCCCCGUGAUGGCCGCUAACACGUGUAUGUGUGGCGCCAACGCGGGGAUCACUUUAUCGGUCAUGAGGAGCUCGCCGAGACCGAAGAGGCCGCCAGGGUGGAGCGCGCGGCCAAGCGCCUUGUCGACGAAGUCAAGGUAAGCGGCUUUUUGUACUGCUGCACAUUCUUUUGCCUUGUCUUGCAUGGUCGUUAUAUGCUUGCUUUGUAGGACGUAAUGAAAACGGCGAAGUACCGGAAACGGUGCUUUGACCAGAUAGAAGGCGUCAUGGCCGAGAACAAGGCCCUUGCCGCGGAGGUAGACCGGUUGCGGGCGGAGGUCGGGGAGAAGGUGGUCGAGAUGAGUGCCGAAAAGGAGCGUCGUCUCGACCUCGCUCGUCGUCUGGCCGACCAGUACCGGCUUCAGGAAGGUUAGUCACACGCUCCGAGCAGUUUCGCGUACUUGUAUAGUGUGCUUUGCUGACCAGUUUAGGAUUCACGCAGACUUGGAGGAGGAGGUGGCGAGCCUCCAACAAGAGAAGGAGCAGCUCAGCCAACAGCUCGCCGGUGCGCAGGAGUCCGGGCGGCGAGCAGAAGAGGAAUUGGGUCGAAAAGACCGGGAGUUAGCUGGUAAUGGGUGCCGCCUUGUUGGUUGCUGCCUGCCCCUUUGCUUGUCUAGUAUGCCGAAAGUAACGUUUCCUUUCGUUUGCAGUGCUCAAGGUGAACACCAAAAAGCACCUGGAUGACCUGAUCAAGGACCGGGACUCCUGGAAGGUCAACUGUUGCAGGAUCUGGAAAGGAGUGUCCCCGGUCCUAGACCUGAUCAGUCCCGAGCUCCCGGAGAGCCAGCCCCGCGCGCCGCAGUUGACCCCGGUCGAGAAGGCGCAACGGGCGUGGGACUGGCUCCAGCAGUUUGUGAAGGACGCCGGGGAGUUUGCCGGCGCGCACGUCCUCAGCAUGGUGCGCGCCCACUACCCCCUGGUCGACUUGAGCAGGCUGGAGAAGGGGUACCCGAAGGAAGUCGGCCCACAGGAAGCGGACGAACUUCGGGGUAAUCUGCUGGACUUGUCGUCGACAGUGAUCGGCGACAUCAAUCUGUGCGGAACGGCCACUCCUCCAGACCAGCCGAGCUCAGAUAGGUCGGCCAGGGAGUUGUCGGGCGCGUCCGUUGCGGGAGAUGGGCGGUCGACGCCUGCGGUCUCGACCAGCCAGGCGCCAGUGGCCCCGACCCCUUCGUCCGGGCAGCAGGGCCAGGCGGGUGAUCAGCCCGAGCAGCUAGGCCAAUAAAGUAGUCUGUAGGAAUAGACUAGUGUUUGCCCGUCAGGGUAUUUAUUGUAAACUUUGUAUGUAAAGUUUGUAAUAAAGUUUGCUUUUUGUCAUGACUGUUGUUUUGAGCGCUGUAAGAAUAUCUGAGUGACGUGUCACCGCAUUUGUCUUGGUUGUCGCUAAGAGCAUCCGUUGCAGGAGUUUUGCCAAGUGCUGUGUGUGACAAGGUAUGGGCCAAAAAUAGAGAAUUUCAUUAUCAAAAAUUAUAAGAUACUUACAAAAGAAAGUUAUUAAAACUUUAUGGAUAGAAACGUCGCAGUUUGUCGAUGUGCCAAGAGUUAGGCACUCGUGUUCCGUCUGGGUAUGCCAAUCUGUAGGACGUAGGUCGCGUGACCUCGGUCACCACGAAGGGUCCUUCCCAGGGGGUGGAUAGCUUGUGCAUUCCCUCCUGGCUUGUCUUCCAUCGAAGCACCAGAUCGCCGACCACGAAGGAACGGUCCUUGACAUUCCUGUUGUAGUAUCGCCUGAUUGCUGCGAGAUAUUUUGCUGUUCGGAGACACGAAACUAGACGCUUUUCCUCCAUGCAAUUGAUUUCGAGUUCUCUGGCGUUGUCGGCGGUCGCCUGGUCGAAGUGCUCGAUUCUAGGAGAUCCAAAGUGUAUGUCAGACGGCAAGACCGCCUCUGCACCGUACACCAUGAAGUAGGGAGACACCCCUGUGUUUCGACUGGUCUGAGUUCGGAGGCCCCAGACCACCGCCGGCAAUUCUUUCAUCCAUCGACCGGGUGCUCUGUCGUUUUCGGUGUACAACCUUUUCUUUAGGGCGUCAACGAUCAUUCCAUUAGCACGUUCAACUUGACCGUUGGCACGUGGAUGUGCCACUGACACAUAUUUUAUGACUAUGCCUCUGUCAUCGCAGAAAUCCCAAAAAGUGGUGCCAGUAAACUGAGUGCCCAGGUCGGUGAUUAUGCUGUUCGGGAUGCCGAAUCUGUGUAUGAUUUGAUUGAGGAACUCCACAGCCUUCUCGGAGGUUGCCUUGACCAGGGGCAUGUAUUCAAUCCACUUGGGGAACUUGUCGAUUAACACGAAGACAAACUUGAAAUUGCCCGGAGCUGGUUUAAAUGGUCCGAUCAUGUCAAGCCCCCAGCAAGCAAAGGGCCAAGACGACGGGAUGGUUUGAAUUUCAUGGGCAGGUACGUGGGUCCUCUUAGCGAAAAACUGACAUCCUUCGCAAUGCCGAACCAGUUUUUCUGCGUCGCCGACCGCGGUUGGCCAAUAAAAACCUGCUCGGAAAGCCUUUCCGACCAGCGUUCUAGAUGCGGCGUGGUUGCCGCAGGAUCCGGCGUGUAUGUCCUCCAAGAGCUUGAUACCAUCAUCUUGGGGUAUGCACUUGAGCAGUACCUCGGAGCUUGCGUUUUUCCGCAUGAGUUUUCCGUCGACCAGGAUGUAGUUCUUUGAUCGUCGGAUGAGGCGCUCGUUCUCUGUUUUGUCCUGAAAGCCUGUCCCGUCUGAUAUGUAUUUGAUGAACGGGGUACGCCAGUCACGCCCACCGGUUGUCGGAGUGGCGUCAUCUAUGAGCAUUGCCUCGGUGGGUUGCUUGUCGACCAGGGGGGAGCUUACGCUCAGCUCAUGGAUGUCCUGGACAAAAAUACCCCGCGGGAUUUGGGCCCGAGAUGAGCCUAACUUUGACAACGCAUCUGCUGCUUGAUUCUUAUCCCGGACCACGUGGAUGUACUCUAUGCCAUAGAAGUUAGUUUCCCAUUUGCGAAUUUCUUUGCAGUAGAGAUCCAUCUUCUCGUGGGUUGCGUCCCACUCCUUGUUGAGCUGGUUGAUGACCAAAGCGGAGUCGCCGUAGACAUAGAGGCGCUUGACCCCCAGUUCAACGGCUAGUCGUACGCCAUGUAAGCAUGCUUCGUAUUCGGCGACAUUGUUUGACGCCGGAAAGAGGAUCCGAAGGACGUAGCGGAGUUUGUCCUUGUUGGGUGAUACGAACAAUAUCCCAGCGCCUGCACCGUUGAUGUUCAAGGACCCAUCAAAGAACAUUGACCAGUGGUCUGAGACAUCUGGAACGGAAGGCUCGUUGAGAUCCGUCCAUUCGGCGAUGAAAUCGACCAGGGCUUGAGACUUGACAGUGGUGCGACUCUGGAACUCUAGGGAAAAUGGACAUAAUUCCAUUGCCCAUUUCACGAUUCUGCCAUUGGCGUCUUUAUUGCGCAGGAUGUCCCCGAGAGGAAAGCUGGUUGUCACCAGGACUCGAUGGCCGUCGAAGUAGUGCUUCAGCUUUCUUGACGUUAUCAGGAUGGCGUAUAUAAGCUUCUGUAUUUGUGGGUACCUGGCCUUGGAUUCGUUUAAAACUUCGCUUAUGAAGUAAACGGGUCUCUGGACCUUGAAGACGUGACCUGGUUCAUCUCGCUCGACCACUAUUGCCGUGGAAACAACCCUGUCGGUUGCAGCAACGUAAAGGAGUAGGUCUUCAUUGGGCUGAGGCGCUGUGAGGACAGGCGGUGAAGUGAGGAAGGUCUUAAGCUGAGUGAACGCAGCGUCGGCUUCCUCUGUCCAAGAGAAUUUUUCUGACGCUUUCAGUAGUUUGAAGAAAGGGAGGCCUUUUUCUCCCAGCCUUGAGAUGAAACGACUGAGGGCGGCCAUGCAUCCGGUUAGCUUCUGAAUAUCCUUGACGUUCUUCGGUGGUCGCAUGUCGAGUACGGCUUUGACUUUUGAAGGGUUUGGUCGUAUGCCGUCGCGACUGACGACGUUGCCGAGCAGUAGACCGGAAGGAACGCCGAAAAUGCAUUUCUUGGGGUUGAGCUUCCACUUGUACCUAUUGAGUGCCUUGAAGGUUCGGUCUAAGUUGUCGAUUAGGGUGCUCGCGUCCCUUGUUUUUACGACCACGUCGUCCACAUAGGCCUCGACGAGGUCAUCGCGAAUCUCGUCGUGGAGGCAUUGCUGGAUGGCCCUUUGAUAAGUGGCCCCGACGUUUUUAAGUCCGAAAGACAUGGUAGUGUAACAGUAUGCGCCGAAGGGUGUGAUGAAGGAUGUUUUGAUCUGAUCUUCUUCCUUUAACGAGAUCUGGUGAUAACCAGAGUAGCAAUCUAGAAAGGAGAGGAGUUCGCAUCCGGCCGUUGAGUCGACCACCUCGUCGAUGCGAGGAAGACCAAAAGGAUCUUUAGGACAGUGUUUGUUGAGAUCGGUGUAAUCAACGCACAUUCUCCAUUCAUUAUUCUUUUUGCGUACAAGAACCGGAUUGGCGAGCCAAUCGGGAUGAUACACUUCUUUUAUGAAUCCGGCUGCUAGAAGCCGUGUUAUUUCUGUCCUAAUAGCCUCCUUUUUGUCACGAGCGAACCGUCGCAGUUUUUGCUUGAUUGGUCUUGCGGUCUUCGAGACGUUUAAGGAGUGCUCGAUCAGGUUUCGUGGGACACCGGGCAUGUCUGCGGGUUUCCAUGCGAAAACGCUCACGUUGUCCCUUAGAAACCUGACGAGCGUGUCUUCCUAUUUUGGAUCCAAGUUAGCCCCGAUGAGGGCUGUCUUCUCGGGGUUGCCUUCGACCAGCUGCACUUCUUUGUGCUCCUUGGAUUUCGAAUUCUUUCUGGCUGUCUCCUGCUCAGGUAAUCGGAGCUGGUCGGGAGGCAGCUGUGCGGCUUGGUUUGCUGUUUCCGCCAUGCGGAUUGAGAGGUCAAUUGCCUCGGUGAUCUUGAAGCUUUCUUCUUCGCAGGUGUACGCAGUGUAGACGUUGCCUCUGAUGGUUAGGACACCCUUCUCCGUGGGCAUCUUAAGGACUAGGUAUGAGUAGUGCGGGACUGCCAUGAACUUUGUCAGCGAUGGGCGGCCCAGUAUGGCGUGGUAGGUCCCGUCGAAAUCCGCGACUACGAAGUUGAUGAACUCCGUCCGGAAGUGAUCGGGUGUGCCGAAUUGGACAGGCAAUGUUAUCUGUCCGAGGGGCACCGAACUUUGACCUGGCAAAACCCCCCAGAAUUGGGCGUCGUAAGGUUUUAGUUGUGCCGGUGAUAUCUUGAGGGCGGGCAGGCUGUUGCGGAAAAGGAUGUCGAUGGAGCUUCCCCCGUCCACGAGCACGCGCUCGAAUCUGAUGCUAUUGAUGCAGGGAUCAAGAAUCAGUGGGAAACGACCCGGCUCUGGGAUAGCGGCCCACUGGUCCUUCCUGCUGAACGAGAUCUCCCUGUGGGACCAGGCGGGAAAUUUCGGAUCUGCGAUCAGCCCGUCCGUGCUGUCUAUGUUGAGGCAGGCUCUCUUUAACAGCUUUCUUUCUUGCUUGGACUCAGUGGAGACCUUGCCCCCGAAAAUGGAGUGGACCACGUCGGUGGGGCUAACGUAUUGGUGUCGGGGGUCCCUGUCUUGGUCCUCAUCCUCAUCUUCGUGGUCGUGGCCGUCGCGUUUGUUAUUUUUCUUGGCGGAGUCCUCUUGGGCGGCCCGCCGUGUAUAGAUACUUUUGAGGACGCGGCACUCUUCCAUGGUAUGGUUAGACUUUGGGUGUAGCUGGCACGGUCCCUUCAACGUUUUGUUGUAGUCGUCUUGGUAGUCCCGUCGUCCGUUGGGACGUUUGACCGUAUUUACUUCGUGGUCGUAUUCACGGGGGCGCUUUCCUCUGAUGUCAUCGCGGCUGUCGCGUCGCCGAUCCCAACCCUCUCGGUGAUCGCGGUUGUCGGAGCGGCGGUGAUUUCUGUUGUCGUAGCGACCACGACCGUCAUCUCGCCGAGAAGGCUGGUCGGGGCCUCUCGCGUCGUCUCGGAUUAGUUUUUCUGCGUCAUCAGCAUCGGCGUAAUUUUUAGCCGUGGCGAGGAGCUCUGCUACUGUUGAUGGGCGCUUACGCAACAGCUUGUUCCUCAGCACUUCAUGGAAACGCAAGCCCUUGAUAAAGGCUGAUAUGGCCUCGUCAUGAGAAAUCUUCGGGAUUUUGAGGCGCAUAUCCGAGAAUCGUCGGAUGUAAUCGCGCAGAGGUUCAUUCUUCCUGUCUCUUAUCCUUUCAAGGUCAUACUUGUUUCCGGGCUGCUCGCAUGUGGCGAUGAAGUUGUCGAUGAAAGCCUGUCGUAGCUCUUCCCAAGAGUCGAAGGAGUCCUCGGGCAAGCCGAGAAGCCACUGAUGACCAGCCUGGUCGAGGACUACGGGGAAGUAGUUAGCCAUGACGUGCUCAUCUCCUGCCGCUGAUCGGACGGCGAUUUCGUAGAGAGUGAUCCAGUUCUCUGGAUUUUCCUUGCCGUCGUAUUUUUUAAGUUUUUCGAGCUUGAAAUUGCGGGGCCACACGACCUGGCGGAGGUGUGAGGAGAACUGCCUUAGGCCCGGAGGGCCGUGGGUCGCAUCGUACUCGAUGCGACGCAGGUUUUCGUGGACUGCUCUCUCUGCGGCGCGCCUGUUGAUGCGGUCCCGGGCAUCUUUGGGAGGGAUGUUGUGGCGGAGAUCCCUGUGUUGAUCUUCUUCUUCUUGGCCGCGUACGCGGUUCUGCUGGCGGCGGCCAUCGGCGUCCCGACCACCAUCGUCGCGCCGUGAGUCCCCUCGACGGUUGUCGGGGGAGCGGCUGCGGCGACGCCUGCUGGGUGAGGCCCGGCUACGAUUAGUCUGGUCGGAGGCGGCUUCCGUAUAAGAGACGUCCUGGACUCUCUUGAGCAGAGUGGCUGUCUGUCCCAUUGCGGCGAUCAGGUGUGCUCGGAUACUGGUCCGGACUCCCUGGCAUUCGGGGGUGUCAGGAAGCCGAGCCAGGUUGGCCAUGGCGACAGCCACGUUGGCGCUUGGUGUUUUGUAGACCGGCUGGUCCCCGACCAUGUCAAAGGCAUCGUUGAGGUUACUUGGUGGCAUCUGUUGUUGUUCGUCCGCACGCCGUCGAGCGCGAUCGGCGUUACGCUGUUCGCGGAGUUGCCUCUGGUCAUCUGUUUCUCCGUCAACAGCCGGUUCGUCGGCGCUGACAUUGAACACAAUAUCCCCUCGCCGGGGGGGGGGAAUAUCGGGAAUCGGUCGAAACCCGGAGGGUGUGAAGGAAAAUCCAGGUCGUAGCCCUCGUCCUCGGUGUUUAUAACCUCGGUGGGGACGGAGCCGGUGCUUGAGUUGGUGCUGGAAACUUGGCCGUCCCGUAGCUCUCGGAUUGUCACCAUGUUGACAUGGUGACGAUUGUUCCUUGUCGGCGACCAGCCCGCCUUGCUGAAAACGGAUUGGGCAUGCCGUGAGUAAACAGAGGCCGAGUUGUUCAGGCCGCAAGGAUAGUCUUCCUUGUUGAGCUCGACGGAUCGUACUGAGGGGGUUGAGGCUAUCGUCAGGGACGUUCCCAGCCGUUCGUGUGUGGCGACACGAGUUGGCCGGCGGGAUUCCGAAAAAUCCGCUCGAGCAGCUUGGUCGGGCCGGCGCAGAACUCCAUCUAUUAGCUGGGAGACUUCGAGUAGCUUGGAGUCCGCGCGAUCGAGCGCUUGGAGGAGGUCCGAGCAGUCGAUCUCCUUUCCCUUGUAGAGUGGGAACGGUGGUCGGGAGCUUGGUGCCGUCAUGUGUGUGGUCGGAGACGGCGUGAUCUCAGAUUGGAUCUGGAUCUCUUUCGGAACCGUGGUCGCGAAGCCGCCGCUGCACGUCGUCCACGUGAUCUGGCCGACGGUGAACAUGAGGCCUUCGGGCACGGUCGCGGAAGCUGGGAUCGUGACCAUCUUGUUCGCCGGAAAAGUUGCACGCACACCCCCUACCUGGCGCGCCACUGUCGACGAAAGCUAGUCGGCAGUCUACCAUGGGGUAUACCCACGGUAGUAGUUUAUCGGUAGACGGUGCGCAAACUACGAACUCGAUGGUGACGCAAGACACGGACAAGCUUUUUAUCCAGGUUCGGCCGCCGAGUUGGCGUAAUACCUACGUCCUGCGUCUGGUUGUAUUGAUUUGUGCUGAGAGAAUAUGAUGUCCUAGGGGGGUCCCUUACCCCUCCUUAUAUAGUCUGGAGGGCAGGGUUACAGAUCUAGAAACUAAUCCUAGUCGGUUACAAUUGCCAUAGAUAAUUCGAUAUCAAUUCCUAUUCUAACCGACUAGAAUCCUGCUUGAUCUCCACGUCUUGUUUCCUUGCGCGAAACUCCGAGCUGUCGGAUCAAGCCUUGAACUCGUCUCGUAGUGGGCCAAGCUUCCUGGCUGAAGUCUGGCCGUAAGGGUAUAGGGGUUUAUACCCCCACACAUAGCAACACAUGUGAUGAAGGAGCAAGGUGGCAUGGAAUGGUGGCCACAUGAUUACAAAGAGAUGGAGCAUGAUGUGGAGAUCAUGAUGAUAGACAAGGAAGAAAGUGAACAAGGCAAAGGUAUAAACAUAGGGUUUUGCUUUUGCUGGUCCAAGUUGAGUAGAGAAGUGAUUGACCGGGUUUAUGAUAGAAGCCGACUAUCAAGAGGGGAAAUCACGGUCAUCUCUCGAAUCUAGUGCUACUAGGUCCAUAUCUUGAGCAUAUGCAUUAGGAUCUAGUAAAGUGCUAACUUGAAUCCUUGUUGAAAAUGUUUGUGAAAAGCUAACACACAGGCACAAGUGUUGUUACAAUCUUGUGUUGGCACAUGGAAGCAAGGGAACAAGUUGAAAAAGGAUAGAAUGAAGUUCAGCCGCAAUAUCUAACUUUGGAGUUUUUCUGUGAGGCACCAGACUUAGGAACAGUAACCACUUAGAGUCCGGUGUAGAGAGUCCGGUGACAACGCUUACAUAGAAGAGUUCCUAAGUUUGCGUCCGGUGCUACACCAGACAAGUCCGAUGUGACACUGGACGCGUCCGAGUUGACCGUCCGGUGUGUUCCCAAGUGAAAGUCUAAUGCUGAGUCUCCAUGGCGGCAACGGUAAGUUCUCUGACGGUCAAGAGCACCGGACGCUGUCCAGGUUCAUACCAAACGCGUCCGGUGUGAACUAGGACAGGUCCGGUGUGGUCGACUGCAGCACUUUGAUAGUGACCAAUGGCUAGUUCUUUGAGGGGGCUUAUAAAUAGAGUAUGGCCGGCUUAGGGGGAUUAGCUCUUGCACAUUUGAUUACUUGAGGCAUACAUUGAGCUAGAGAACACUCCCUCCACUCAUCUCCUUGCUUGAUUGCUAAUCCUAGUGAGAUUGAGUGACACUGCUGCAUGAUCGGGCAUUAGCACCGGUUGAGAAGGGCCUGUUGCCCCGUUUCCCGAGCCGGUGCUGCCCUUCCGGGACUAAAGGCCCACCCUUUAGUCCCGGUUUGGCGAACCGGGGCUAAAGCCCCCCCCUUUAACACCGGUUGGUAACACCAACCGGUGUUAAAGGGUCCUGCCAGGGCUGCCACGUUGUAGGACCCUUUAACACCGGUUGGUGUUACCAACCGGUGUUAAAGUGUUUUUUUUUGUUCACUUCUUCGGUUCUGUUUAUUGUUUUUAUAUAAUAAUAAUAGGUUUUUCAAUGCAUGUUUUUGCUGAUACAAUAAUAUAUUUAUAUUACAUGCAUAUUAAGCAUAUAUAAAUGAAAAUUAUAGGCUUAGCUUAAUAAUUAAGCUUUGCCUAUAAUAAAAUGAAUAGGCCACAUCAAAAAUUAAAUAGAUAUGUAAAAAGCUUUAUAUAUAUAGUUUUAUAUGUACAAAAUUCGUAACACAUAUAUACAUAGAGUUUUUUCUCCCAAUGUCUACAAACGAUACAAAUGAUCAUCAUUGUCUGGAAUAAGAGUUUCGUUGCCGUUGAAGUGAAACUCGCCGUUUGAAUUGAUCACUUGCUCGCGGAGAAAUCCUGCUAUCGUCUCUUAGAUAGCUUUGAUUCGGUCUUUUUGUAUGACCUUUCCCUCAACCAUUCCGUCUUUAAUUUGAAAUAAAUAAAAAAGGUAUUAGUUAUCUAAGUUAUUCAAUAUAAUUCAGGAGAUAAUGAAAAGAGAAAUGUAACGUACUCUGAGCGUCUCUGUGGGUGUUUGAUUGACUUGUGCCAUCAUGAAUUUGCACACGUAAUAUGCACAUAGAUUGUUCCCCCCUUCUUGUCUUAAAUACCACUGUACAAUAUAUAUAUAUAUAAAAUAUUCACGACCACGACAAUAAGAAGGCUAAAAGUUAGCGAAAGUUUGCUAGCUAGUAGAACUUACUUGUGGAUGUAUUAUGUUAAGCGGCGCUUUACAUCCACUGAGAUGUUCACGGUCAAUGAAUCUUUCCCAAACCCUACACACAGCCAUUUUGGAUCGUGAACUAAUAAUUACAGAGUCAUAUUAUGAUAUUGUUCUAGCUGAGAUUGACAUUACGUACCUUUAAAUAAUGUUUACCAUUUGUUGAUAAGUUUCUUGUGGUUUUCUCAUUGAGUCAAAGAUUAUCAACCGGUUCUUGGGAAUUUCAAUGACCAUGAGUAUCCAGUGAAAGCUUUUUACACACACAUAUAUAUAGUCAGUCCUAUAUAUAACUAUAUAAAACUUGUCUCGAGUAAUAAUAAGUAAAAUAAAAUAUGCAUGCACUUAAUAACUAUAUAACUCACUCGAAGUUGAAGGGGAAGAGUAUUUUUUGUUUUUCUUUUUGGUUCACAAAGAACCUCAUAAGAUUGGUGCAGACUUCUGUCUCAUGAGCUGCUGUCCACACAGCCUACGGAGCCUUGAAAACAAUAUAAGGGUCAACGAACCCAAUACUAUUGUCAUUUCUCAUUCUGAGCUCUCUCAUUUGGUGCCUGCAUAUAUACAUACAAAUCCUAAGUGUGUAAAGAUUAUAUACAUGUAAUUAAAGAAGUUAGAAGUAUAAUAAAAAGAAAAAAAAUACUUACAGACAAAAGCAGCUAACAAGAGAUUUGUCGAGAGCGUCGAGGUGACAUAAUUGGUGCAAUUCUUCGAACUGCACGUAUAUGAGGUCAUAUCCACGGAAGUAGUGAUGUUGUCUAAUACGAACAGAAAUCCAAUUCUCUCCCCUUUUAGAUGCCUCAAUGCACCAUUUGUUUAUUGCAAACAUUUGUGUGCCGAGCUCAUGUAAACGCUGAGGGUCGAAUAGACUCCUGCCCGGUUUAUAUCUUGCCCUCCAUUGAUCAACUACCUCAGCUUUUUCAAAUGUUUGGCAACCAAAAAUAGUGGCAAUUUCUUCCAUAUUUAAUCUGCUCUGUCCAAAGUAACGCUCAAGCGAGUCUAGCUCAGACAACGCUAAGGAUUUCUUUGGCAUCAAGUCUUCAUUUGAGCAGUAUUGAUUUGGCACAAUCAAAGGGGGCACUGGCUUUGAUACUUCUCCGAGCUGUGGGACCCCCUUUCCUACUCUCUUCCUAGCCUGUGAAGACUUGACCAGAGACCGCUCAUAGUCCGAAAGUGCUGGCUUUUUCUGAGCUUCGCGUUGCUUCUUUUGCUGGUCCGCCACCUUCUGCCUCAGUUCCGAUGGCUUUACAUAAAAGUAUGGCUUUCCUGGGUUUUGCCGCUUUUUACUAUCCUCCUUCCAUUUAUCAAAAAAUUGUUUCACCUCAGCUUUGGAUGCAGCAAUUAACUCCUCUUCACUCUUUUCAUAAGAUAAUUUUUCUGGUGUCUUUGCUCUCUUUGCUGAGGCAGCCUUCUUUGAAGGUGGGACCGAUGACUUCGGUCAUUCUUGGGCGGACCGCUUCUGACUACCUCUCUUUGGAGGUGAGGGAACCGACCGUGCACUCUUUGGAGAGGGCGGUGCAGGCGGUGGAGGUGGUGGGGCCGAUCUUUUCGGUGUUGGAGAACGCGGUGGAGGAGUUGGAGACCUCGGUGGAGGAGGUGGAGACCGUGGUGGAGGCGGUGGCGAGGUCGGUGUGGCCACCGCAGGUGUUGGAGGAGAUCCAGCAUUGUCACCGCCCGCAGCACUAUGAUGCGCUGGGGAGAGAACUGGACUUAGGUUGGAAGAGUCCUUGCAAAGAAAACAAUUACAAGUUUUGUGAGCAAACUUUUUUUAAUUUCAAUACAUAAUAAAUAAUAUAAGAAGUAAAAUCACACACAAACCUAUGUUGAGGAAUAAUUAUGAAGCGCUUGCGCCAACAAAUAAAUGUCUUCUCAGCUUCACCUAAGGUCUUCUCUCUGUCUCCCCCUUCUAUGUCUAGAGGCACGUUGCCACAACCUUUCUCAACCCUAUCAACCGAGACGCUAGCAUAUGCACCAGGUACUGGUCGAUUAUGGAUUCUUGGAGUUCUCAUUCGGUCGAUAGGGUUGACAACAGUGAUAGCCACCUUUUUUGUUGCAUUCCCAUCUGGUACAUGCAGCUCACAGGUAGUAAAAGCCUCUGUGACAUCAUCCACGGGGAAGUGUAGCUUCGUGUCAUCCUGAAUUGUUGGUACUUCCGUGGAUGCGCAGCUGCUUUUCAACUGGCCUGGGGGGCUAACGUUGACCUCAGGCUGUGAUGUACCUUGCCCUUUCGUCAUUUGACUAAGUGCUGCUUGCACUUGCCUUUGGAUCUCCGCCUGCAUCCAUUCUUCACGAGCUUUCUCGCGCUCUUCUAACUGCAGAACAAAAGCUUCCAGGCGGCGGAUCCGCUCUGCCUCCUCAUCCUUCUUUCUCUGGCGGCUUCUGUAGGUAUCUUGAUCGGCUUGGAAUGAUUGCAGCCACGGAACUGCCCCAUAGCCACUCGUACGCCCACCGUGCUCAGGAUUUUCAAGCGCAUAGGUGAGUUCAUCCUUCUCCCUGUUAGGCCUGAACUUACCAGACUGAACCGCCUCUCGUGCACGGACUAGUCUCUCUGCUGCUCUAGAUAUUUCUUGGCCCUAAACUAGCGCCCCAGUGUCUGGGUCCACGCUUCCCCCAUGACCGUAGAACCAAUGCUUGGAGCGCUCGCUCCAAUUCUUUGCUAUUGUCUCGGGUGUGACCCCCCUAGCAAGCAUCUCCUGUUCCAUUCGGUCCCACUUGGGAACAGCACUCUUAUAACCACCUGAUCCCAUAUGAUGGUGGUAUGUCUUUUUACAUGCAUUCUCUUUGUUUCUAUUGGCUUGUUCCUCGCCCUCUUCUGAUGUUUUGUACUGCACAAAGUCAUCCCAGAAGGCCCUCAGCUUUACAUAUUGCUUGAGGUUGAAAUUUGGAGUCUCGUUUUUCUUGACAUAUUUAUUGUACAAAGUCUUCUUCCAAUUCUGGAAGAGUACUGCCAUCUUCUUCAUAGUCCAGUCAUAAAUUCGCACCUUUAACUCCUCAUCGUUGGUGUCGAAGGUGAAAACGUCUGUGACGGCUUUCCAAACUAACUCCUUGUCAUGAUCAGAGAUAAAACUGAUCUCAGGAGCACCUCGCUUCUCUCUCCAUUCACGAGCACUGAUCGGUAUUUGAUCUCUCACAAGAUAUCCACAGUGACUAACAUAUUUAUUUGCAUGUUCACCAAGUGGUCUGCCUGUAGCUAUCUCAAACUCAGAGAUUACAUAACGGCCCUCCAACGGCUUCUUUGGCCCUCGUGGAGGUACGCUUCUCCCCGUAGAGGUCGAUCCAGAAGGCUACACGUAGAUAUAGAAACAAAAAUACUAAAUUAAAAACCAAGUAAGUCUAAAACCUAAUGUAAGAGAUGCAUUAAUUAUAUAUGUUUACAUUUGCAUACCUCGCCAGUAUUUUCUUCUUGUUGCACGACAAGUUAUUGCUCAGGCGCAUUGCCCUCUUGUUGCUCAGGGGCAUUGCCCUCUUGUUGCUCAGUCGCAUUGCCUUGCAUGAUCUCGUGGUAAUCAAUAAAGUACUGACUACCGUCGUCGAUAAUAUUUUGAAUGGCAUCUUCCAUAUAAUCAAGAUCAUCAUGAGCACGGUCAGCCAUUUCUAUGUCUGCAAUCAUACAUAUAUAUAUAUUCUAUAUAAGAUAAGAAAUACACUAGAAUAAUAUACUAAAAAAUAAUACUGGAAUAUAUAUUAGAGACUUAUAUACUACUACUAGUACUACUACAAAUGAAAGUGUUGGAGUGCUCUAAAAAUAAUACUAGAAUCUUUUAAGCCAAGUAAUACACUAGAAUAAUAUACUAAAAAACAAUACUAGAAUAAUAUAGUACAAACAAUAACAUAUACAAAACCCUACUAGAAUAAAUUUGGUGAGUAAACACUACUAGAAUAUAUAUUAGAGACUUAUAUACUACUACUAUUACUAAUACAAAUGAAAGUGUUGGAGUGCUCUAAAAAUAAUACUAGAAUCUUUUAAGCCAAGUAUUACACUAGAAUAAUAUACUAAAAAACAAUACUAGAAUAAUAUACUACAAAACAAUAAUAUAUACAAAACACUACUAGAAUAAAUUUGGUGGGUAAACACUACUAAAAUAUAUUAAGCCAAGUAAUAGACUAGAAUAAUAUACUAAAAAGUAAUACUAGAAUAAUAUAUAUACUAGAAUAAUAUAUACUAGAAUAAUAUACUACAAUUCAAAUAUACUAGAAUAAUAUAUACAAAACACUACAAUUCAUAAUAUACUAGAAUAAUAUACUAAAAAGUCUUUUAAGCCAAAUAAUAUAAUAGAAUAAUAUAUUAAAAAAUAAUACUAAAAAAUAAUACUAUAAUAGUACAAACAAUAAUAUAUACAAAACAUUAGAAAUUAAAAUAUAUGUUACAGACUAUAUGCAUACUAAAAUAAUAUACUAAGAAAAUAAUACUAGAAUAAUAUACUAAAAAGUAAUACUACAAUAAUAUAUUAACAUGCAUUAUUUUUUAGUGUAUAUAUAUACUUAAUAUACUAGCAUUCAUUAUUAUAUAUAGAAAACACUAGAAUCAUAUAUAUAUAUACAAAACACUAAAAUCAUAUUUUCCAAAGUGCUAGGCGCAUAAAAUUAUUCAUAGCAUUCAUUUAUUAUCUCUACACCUAAAACAUGUGAAAUAGACCCGUCUAUCGCUCCGUGGUGAAGCCGCUGAGGUCAUUUGCGCCGACAUGUGGGCCCCACUCUCUAUUCCAGACACCUCCCCACCCCUCAGUAUCCCCUACCCCCGCCGUCUUUACCUACUCCCAACGCCAACCGCCGCCUCCGCCCUCUACCGUCGAUGCUGCGGCCUCACCCUACCCCUCUCCGGCCGACGAUGGUGCUCUGCCCUCCGACCACCGCCAAUCUCUGCCGGCUCGCCCCUGCCCCGUCCUGCCGCUGCCACGCCCCGUUGUUCCGUGCGCCGUCGUUCCUCCACUUGUGAUCCCCCCCACUGCCCCCGCGGUGCGAUCCCCUCCGCUCCAAACCUAGCAACGACGGAUCUCGGGUUCGCCAAGCUUCUACCAGAGCAGGACCGCGGAGGACACGGCAACGGUCAUGAGCGCCCCCUGCGACCGCGUGUGCGAAGCUGGCGUCAGCAGGUUGGGCUACCUCGAUCUACAACCAGCCACGGACGAGAUCCAUAACCACAGGUGCCGCCGCCUCGUACAUCCCCGACCCUUGAUUUGCUCCCUGCCCAUAUGGACCUUUCUGAGCAAAAUACGAUGCAACUAUAGACACCAAUUGGAAUAGGUAAUUCCACAACACUGGACUUAUUAGCCUGACAUGCAUAAAAACAUAUGUCUAUUUGUUUGGCCAAUUUUUAGCAGGCUAAAGUAGCUUGACAUAGCUAAUGUUAUCUUGUUCAUUGCUAGAACGGUUCUAUUGGUUGAUUCGCAAUGUGAAAUAGAAAAUGGAAAUGAAUAAAUCUCUAGAAUUUAUUGGUUGUUGCAUUUCAGUCAUGAUUUCUAAUGGAAAAUUAAUUGAUUUAUUAUAGGAAAGUUGUUGCAUUAUCUCUUUGAGUUUGUGUGAUUCAAUUUUGGCCCUGUGUCCUACAUCUUAGUUAUUGAUUUAUUAUAGGAAAGUUGUUGUUCUUUAAUCUGGUUAUUGAUAAGCUGCUGUAGAAUCAUGUUGUUUGGCACAUCUUAUGCUAAAUCUGUGAAAAACUUAUGCUAAAACUUAUAACCCAUCAUGUUGUUCAUAUGAAAAUUUAACUUUGAACUCAACCUUCAUUUACAUAUUAAGGACAAGCAACAAUGUUUGCCAUGAAGAUGUGCCGGCCAAAUAAAGAUUCGAAACCAGUUAUGAACGAUCAAUGUAUUCAAAGGAACCGGAACUUCUGCUACUCAUUCAUGUAGGUAAUUGGUAAUCCAGAGCCUCAAGCUCCAAAUAGGAGAGAGUAUGUAUGAUGCUCCAUUUUAAACAAGAGCUAUAGCUGUUUUUUUUUCUGCUAGCUGUUUACUUGCAUGUCAUAAUCACAGGGAGAAAUUAUUAUUGUGGCUUAAUACACUAACUAAAAAUAGGAAUCAAUAUGCGACUGUGUUCUUGAGCAUUGUGUCAAGAGCCAUAAAACUAGAGGUGCUAUCCACCGGCGUUGCUGGAAACUACAAUGGUGCAUUGCAAGUAGAGUGUGUUCUGAAGAAAAUAGAACAACCAAUAGGUAGUUUAAUGUCAUAUGAUGAUUGCUUUUAGCUACAAAUGCCCAAUAUUGUGUGCAUUUUGUAGAUGUCAGUUGAGUUUCAGGUGCAUUCCCCAUUGGUGCCGACCGGGGAAAGAAUAUUGAGAAAUACUGUAAGCAGAACGCUGAUGGAACAUGGGCCAUCGUCGACGUCUCACUGGACAGCCUGCGCCCCAGGUCAGUCCUCAAGUGCCGGCGCUGGCCGUCAGGAUGUCUGAUCGAGGUAAUGCCUAAUGACUACUCAAAGGUCUGUAGUAUGUACGUGAUGAAUUUUUCAGUUUUCUCACAUUCUCAGUAGUUGAUGGUUCAGAGACUAAUCAUUAGAUGUUUAUACUUAUUAUCUAAAAAAUUUAUGGUGCUGGUGCUCUGCUUCCUUUUGGGUAUCCCAAUGGCGGGGUAAUUUGUAAUAGGGAAGUUCAUGCACAUGCCCUGAUGAGCAGAUGAGCAGAUGAACCUGACCAAAUUACAUGCACAUGCCCUGAGAACCAUUGGUUUGGUAUGUGAUCGCGGUUAAUUUGGUCAAGUUCAUCUGCUCAUCGGCUUGUUCAGCUGUUAUGUGUCGCCUAGAAGUAAUGUAGCUUUCACAAAGUGAAGCAAGGACUUGGAAAAUGCGUUAACUAUUUGAACCGAGCAAGGACUUAGUAGUGCAGUAGUGCUAGAAUAGAAUAAUAUGGAGAAGAUAUUUGGAUCUGUUGCUAGCAUCUCAUGAAAAAAUAUGGCAAAAUAUUUACUGAAUCUGAAUAACAUGUAAGUAGUACAGUAGCAUCACUGAAAAUAAUAUCUUGUUAGUAGUAGUGCAGUAGCAACCUUGCCUAAUAUCCUGUAAGUAGAUUUUCAAACAUCCUGACUUAGGACCUGAAUAUAUUUGAAAAUGUUUUUGUGGAUGUUGGCUAGAAUGCCCCACAAAGAUUAACUGAAGAAUUUGGAUCGGUUGCAAGAAUCUCAUGAAAAGAUAUUGCAAAUUAAUUACUGAAUCUGAAUAAUAGGUAAGUAGUGCAGUAGUAGUGCAGUAGCAUCACUGGAAAUAAUAUCUUGUAAGCAGUAGUGCAGUAGCAACCUUGCCUAAUAUCCUGUAAGUACAAAACAUAAUUGUUUCUCAAGUCCUCACACUGAAUAGCAUGUUCUGUACCUUCCAGUAUAUCUCUGCUGGCUCUUGGGUGAUGACUGACGAACAGUUCAGGUAUUACCACAUUUUUGUUGUAGUUACAUAUAUAUAUAAUUUAGAGUUGACAAACAAUGUACUGAUGCUAUAUUUUUUUUCUCUUCUUGGUCUCAUGCCACAUUUCCUGUACAGUAUAUGGCAAUAGGUGCCUAGCAGCCACAGGAGAUUUUUCAAGCAGUCAGAACGAUCUCACUAUUUUCAUGUAAUAGGUCCCUAGCAGCCACAGGUGAUUUUUCAAGGAGUUAUGUAUACAGUCACACCUCUCUAUUAUGUAUUUGGUGAUAUCAUAACUCAUUAUUCUCCAAAUUGUAUCCUAACUGAUGCACCUAAUGAGAUUACCCGUACACAGGUCGAGGCCCUCAACUCGACGCUCUAGUCAGUCAUACGAAUAGACGUCGAUAACCGCAGCCUCGAAGAUGGAAAAGGCGUCGGGCGAAUCAAUCAGGACUCGAGCACCAGCUACCGUCGAAUACGGAAACAGGCUCGAGCGAACCAGGAGGCGUUGAGCGCAAGGACGCCGCCCGCCGCCUGACGCGCGCACAGGAACCAGGGCAUUUAAUGCGCCUGUCGCGUUCUCACCUAACACGCCAGUCACGGGAAGCGUGAUAGGAAACAGACAUCCGUCCUGUCGUUCUUUUUGCAGCCUUCCCCACCAAACAACCCAGAGCGUGUCAGGGCGCGGGAAGCAGGGAUGGAACGUCUAAUCAGGACCCACUCGAGACAUCCAAGGUCAACGCUCUGGAUACCAGGGCGUUACAAGGCAUCCGACCCUCGACCAGACAUGUUUCCUUCUUGGGGAAGGAUUGGGCGUCGACUGACAACUCUGCGACCACUCCGACGUAUCCGCCGCUAUACCGUACAGGUGUGCAACCGGUGAACCAGUCCAAGACGGCGCGCAGAACAGGAUACCGGGGCACGCGUAAUCAUCAUCAAACUACCAGGACGGGACGGCUCGAGACCACGUCGGUACGGAGGCCUCGAGUAGGUCCGCGCGCCAUGCCUCUAUCGACCCCUACUCUGACGCCUAUACUUGUACUCUGGGCUUCUCCUUGGAACUAUAAACGGGGGUCCAGGCUCAGUUGCACAAAAAACUCUCUGCCCCUUUUUUCUUUUUUUUUUUUUUUUUUUUUUUUUUUUUUUUUCUUUUNNNNNNNNNNNNNNNNNNNNNNNNNNNNNNNNNNNNNNNNNNNNNNNNNNNNNNNNNNNNNNNNNNNNNNNNNNNNNNNNNNNNNNNNNNNNNNNNNNNNACGCUUGUAUUCACCCUUGUACAAGCACUUAGGUGCAAAAUAAUACAAACUCCCUCCCCCUGCUGGACGUAGGGCUUUCUCUUGUCCGAACCAGGAUAAAUCCUUGUGUCUUUUUGCAUCACCAUCUGGGAAAGGAAAGCACGCAUACAAAUUCACUUGUUGGUGUGACCCCCGUGGGGAAAACACCGACAACUACAUUCCUGAAUCCCAACCUCUACUCAAAUGCAUCUUUUUGAUGUUGAAAGUUGUCUGUUAACAUUUAAAAUAUUCAAAGGUGUAUCUGAGGUCAUAGUACAAGGAGUAGUAUGUUCGAGCCUACCCGAAUUGCAUUGUUUUGCUUGUUGGAAAACACAUCCCAGAGCAGGAAAAAGCAGGGGUGGAGCUAGACCACCUUGUUGGGGUCAGCCGAUCCCGAUGGAAUUUACGCUAGGCCACUUUGUAAUUUUAAAGACUCUAUUGAUUCUUUCGGCUAGCUUUGCCCCCAAAAAAGGGGUGUCUGCUCCAAGCCUCUAUGACUCAUCAAAUUCUGUCAAAAUAUUUGCACAACUCUAAACUAUUUUAUUGAUUUCUAGGUGAUUUUGGUUGUGGGUGAUGACACCAAACAUAUCUCUAAAGGAAUCUUGUAUGACAAAGUAAGACAAAGAACUCGGCAAGGGCAACGAUUGCAAUCAAGGUCGAAGUUCAUAGACCUGCUGCAGAGCAGCAGUCUGAACUCUCCAAAACCAAACCACAAUGCGUGAUGAUGGAUACUAGCUGCGGCAGUUGGUUGAUCAGGAAGGAUUUGACAUAGGGAGUUUAUUAUAUGUGAUUUAUAUCGACUUAAAAUUUGACAUGCCUUUUUGCCUUUUUUUUGUUUAUACUGCCGUAUCCACUGAAAUGUAUGUUCUAUUCUACUUUUUCUUAUUCAAAUUUUACUGCACUAGGUUGUGCAGCAAUAUGUUGUGCCUCGAUGACAAUGGAUGAUCUUUGUACUUUUUUAUUUUUUAUCAUGUUUAUGACUUUUGUACCUGGCGGAGUGCCGCAAGAGCCUAGAAUUGAAGUGUAUGCUCACUGUCAGGGAACCCACUUACCAAUGAAAUCAGGUGAAGUGCUGCAAUUGCACAAAAAUAGCGCUCACAGGUCAAUACAAGUAAAAUUAAAAUUAUCAUAGCAUAAGUUUGUUCCCAUUGCAACACACGGGCAUGAUCCUAGUAUAUAUACAUAUAUAUAUAUAUAUGGUUUCAUAGUUAUAUAUAAACGCAGCAGAUAUGUAUAUAUGGUUUGAUAUAGUUAUAUAAAAUCAUAUUUUCUCUACUAUAUAAAUAUAUAAACACAGCAGCCAUAUAUCCAUGUCGGUUUGGAGUCUAUACGUGGGGGCCGGAUCGAUGGUGGACGACGCGCUGGAGGUGUAGAUGACCGCAGCAGCGGUGGUGGACGGCCGCGCGGCCGCGGUAGUCGACGGCGACGCUGGAGACGGUGGCGCGGCGGUGCUUGACGGACGGCGUGCGGGCACAGACGAAUGGCGGCGGCGAAGACGAAGGGCUCUGCUCGACGAAGACGAAGGAACUGUUCAGAUCCAGGACGUCUGUGCGUUUAUAUAGGGGCGGACCCUUUAGCACCGGUCCGUGGCUAGAACCGGUGCUAAAGGGUCUUUAACACUGGCUGGCAACAUGAGCCGGUGUUAAAGGGUGACCCUUUAGCACCGGCUCGUGUUACCAGCCGGUGCUAAAGGGACCCUUUAGCACCGGUGCCAGCCACGGACCGGUGCUAAAAGGUCCUGCACGCGCUAGGGCAGCUCCUGAAAUUUUCAGGGCCCUUUAGCACCGGUUCACACUAUGGGCCGGUUCUAAAGGCCCUGUUUUUUAGUUUAGGGUUUUUAAAGUGUCUAUAUAUACAUUUUAUAUUAUAAAUUGUAUAGUAAAUUAAAUAUUUUGCAUAAUAUUUUUUAAACAGUCAUAUAUAUUGUAAUUUUUUUAAUGUACACAUAAAAAUUUUUAACCUUAAAUAUCUUGCUGUAUUUUUAUAAUUUGCAAUAAUUUUGUAAGAAAUAUUUAGUAUUUUGUUAAUACAAAAAUAUAUUAUUCCAAUAAAUUUACAAAAACUAUAUCCAAUCAACUGGAAAUCUAUUUUCACAUCAUAUUGACGUUAAAAUUUUUAUUUUUGUUAUUUAUUACUCGGAAUGCUAGUAGGGUAUAGUUUUCAUCAAAUAAAAAAUCUAUUUAUCAUAUAAAAAUAUAUAAAAAGUUGUGUAUAUAAAAAGUUUAGAUCUUGAUUGUAACACCCUAGGUGUGAAGCAUGCACUUAGCCUUGUCAAAGCAAUGCAUAAGCAUCCUCAUCAAGCAUAAGCAUCAUGAGCAUGUCAUUCUUCUCAAGUAUGAUUUUAUGUGCUUUAUUUCAUGAGUUUUAAAUAUGCUAAAAAUAUGAUACUUGCUUCCAAAAUUGUGAAAUAUCCAAACUAGGUUGAUUUAUGUGUAAGAAGAAUUAAGAAUAUUUUUGUGCAAUUUUUGGAGCUAUAGAAAUUGAGAAAUGGAAUUUAUACAAAAUUUCCAAAUUGGAUUUAUUUAAAAACCUAGAACUAAGUUUUAAUUUGUAGUUCAAAUUCUAUUGGGAAUUUGGUCUUGCUUAUUAAAGCAAAGUUGUAGAGUUUUUAUUUUGGGACAACUUUGUUUUUGGGAGCAAGAGGUGAAAAUGAUUUUUAAAUAUCCCAAAUGAAUUUAGAAAAGAAUUUGAGAAAAGAAUUUCAAAAAAAAAGGAAAGGGGCAGGCGCUGCUGGGCCAACCCCGCUUCCCUUUCGGCCCAGCGAGCGGCCCGGCCUGCCUCCCCCUUCUUCUCUCUCCCGCGCGCGGACGCGCCUCGCUCCACCCGGCGCCGGCCACGUGGCAGCCGUACGCCGGCGUUGGACGCGCCGCGGCCGGCCUCCAACCCCCCCUGGUCGCGACGCCGGCUCGGGCUCCCAGACCGCCUCCCUCCACUCUGUCGCCUGUCUCCCUCUCUCCCUUCCUCCUCCGCUCGCACCGCGCAGCAGCAGCAGCUCCUCCGCGCGCCAUUGCCGGAGAAAGCUCCGCCGCUCACCGCCGGUCGCACCAGAGCCCCAACCUCGACGCCAAGAGCACCAGCGCACUCGCCGUCGCUAGGGUAAGCUCGUGCGAACGUUCUACCGAGGUGAGAGUCCGUCGAGCGCCAUGAAUCGCUCGCCGGAGUUACCCCGAGCUCGCUGGAGUACUCCGCCGCGACGGAUCUAGCGUUUCUCUGCCUCCUUUCGCUCGUUCUUUGUCGCGCUAGGUCGGUAGGGUGUUGAGGAAGCUCGGAGAGCCGUUUGCGCACGCUCUACCGCGCCGGAGCGGCCUGGCCACGGCGAGCAGCGCCGCCGUGCCGCCAUGCAUGCUCGUCGGAGGUGUUCCGGUCACCCUCCGGCCAAUCCAAGGGUACCGUUGGGUGCGCCUUGUUGCGGGGAGCACGUUGGUGCUCACCCCGUGGCCGGAGACCUCACCGCCGGCGAGAUCUGCUCAUCGGAGGUGAGCUCUCUCUCAGUCUCGCUGACCGGUGGGGUCGGGGACCCACUGUCAGUCGCAGGGGUACCCCGGUGGGUGUAGAUCUGGGUGUGCGUAGCCUUUUUCGUCGGUUUUCUUAAAAUAGUGUUUUCUAGAAAUUGAUUUAAAGUUUGUAAAAUCUAUAUCUUGAGUUCUACAGCUCCAAAUUGAAUGAAAUAAAUUUUGAUGUGUUCCUUAUUUCCAGAUCUAUAGCCUAGUAUGUUUGCAUGUCAUGUUUGAGUAACUUUUCUGUGUGAAUAUAAUUAAUCUAUGUUUUGCUAAACUUAGAAAAUGCAUAAGUAAAUAAAAUAUGGCUCAGAAAAAUGUGAAACUUGAUUUGUUGGCUUUGCAUGUAUGUUUACUCACUGGGAAAAUAUUGCUACAUAUUAUUUGGUGUAUAAAUGAAUUUAUGGUAAUUUAAAUGCUUGCAUGGCAGUGAUUUAUGAUUUUUAAUAAUUAAUUGGCUCAUGCAAUAAAUCUGGAAAAUUUUGUGGGUGUUUCGUAUGAUAUUAUACGAAUUGUAAAAAUAUGAAAUCUGUUGUUUGACACUUGUAUCCCAGUAGAGUGAUUAUACUUGCCUUAUUAAUUAAUCUUGUGAUUUUUGUGGCUCAAAAUAAGUAUCCAAAAAUCAUGAAAAAUUUACAGUAGACUUUAUACUUAGCUGGUAGUCUCCUGUAAUUUUUGUGGAAUUUAUUGAUAAACAGAAUUGCAUGUAAUCUUUAUGGGCCUAUAAAUGAAUAAAGAAAAUUUUGAAUGGUUGUAUAUAUAGGUUGAAUGGAAUAAGUUGGGUUUGAUGUAUCUUUGAAGCAUCAUGUGGGUUGCUGGUUGCAUUUAAAAAAAAUAAUUGUAGAAGAGCAUGCAGUAGAUGUUUGAUUCAAUUGUUUAUUCUUGGAUAAUGUUGACUACCUUGUAAUAAGUAUGACCAAGUGCAUCACCUAUGCAUCAUGUCAUGACUCCUUUGGUACUUUCUCAUACAAGCAUCCACUCGGGCAUCUCGCAUUCCACUCAUGAGCACCCAUGCAUCAUACAGGCUCGCAGGAGAACGAAGUGGGACCCGAGGAGACAGAGGAGAUUCAGGAGCAGGAACCUCCGGAAGCACAGGAACCCGGAGAGGAACUGCAGGAGUGUCCGGAUCACCGACCCAGCACGUUUGAGAAAGGCAAGCCUCGGAGCAUCCUAAGUCUCCCUAUUCUCGCUAACUUAUACAAAGCACUAUACUUGUUCUACUAUAUUGCAUUUAAGUGAUAGGAAUUGCUUGAUACCGUUGAUGCAUAUGUACUCCUUGUUAUCCCUACUUGUUCACCUACCUUGUCCUAUGUAGAUAGGCACGAAGUCUAUGCUUAGCUUGCUUAGUCCGGUAGAAGUCGGGUGAUUUCAUGUCACCUGCGAGAUAUAGGCGGAUACCUGCUUGUUUGAGCGUUGGUUGCUCGGGGAAAAGAAUAACCAAGUGUGGAAUGUAAUUGGAGACCGAGCAGGGUCUUAUGGUGGGUUGACCAUAGUGCCCCUGCCUGUGUCGAUUAAGGACCGAUCGUUGAUGGCCCUCUUGUCAUGUUGAACGCAUGCCCCACAUUUAGCUGGAAGGAUAAGUCGUUCCGACCGCGAAGCCUGAGCACUAUCCGGGCCGGGAAUCGGCCCGAUGUACGCGUUGUAUUGGUGAUGGUUGAGGAGAACGACGAGGGCGCGGCGCGCAACCUUGGUAUACCUUGGAUACCUCGGUCGCCGGAACGGUCCUCGGGUACGGGCGGUGCUUGUCGAACCCGCGAAUUGGUCCUGGAUAGUGCAAUACGGUGAUCUGUAGCUCACUUGAUCAGUGAGUGUGGUUUGUGUGGGGAAUGAACUCGCCAGCUGGUUAGAAAUCGAUUCGAAUCGCCAUCGCUCCUGGAUAGUGAGCACUUGACAUGAGCCCUGUCCUCGUAGUAAGAACUAUGGAACACUUGGGUUAUAUUGAUGAAUAGUUUUCAAGGAAUGCUGUGAUGAGGUACUAUCAUAGCCUUAUACUUGCUUGUAAUAGUACAGGUGCAAACCUAGAUAAUAGGUAAAGCUACUUCCAACCUGAGCAAAAUUAAAAGAAGAAAAGUUUUAUGUAGGAUAGGAUAGGAAAAUCAUGCAGUUUUGCGAAUUGGUUGUCAGCUACCCCACUAUAUAGCCUUCAUGAUCCUUGAUGAGUCUUUAUUUUAAGUUUAUGACGGGUAAGUCUAGCUGAGUACCUUCUCGUACUCAGGGUUCUAUUCCCAUGUUGUUUUGCAGAUGGUCAAAUGUACUAUGGUUAUUGCAUCCUCUGUCUGUACCCCGCCAUGGGUGAUGACUAGACCAAGGGCGAUGGUCACUCCGUCUCUUCUUUGCUUUUGUGGGAAUGACUGCACUAUGGCACUGUAUCAGACUAAGUGUGUGUGUUGUAUUUUCGAACUAUGAAGCUUCCGCUACUUGAAGAACUUGGUUUCUAAUAACCUAAGCACUCCGAUGUAUUUAUGAAUGUUGUAAUCUGGAUGUAUUUGUGGAUGGCGACCGCUAAACUUAUUACGAUCUUGUCUGUUAUGCGAUGUGUGGUUUGAAAUCCUUCGAGAUUUCACGGACUACCGGGAUUAUAUGGGCUUAAGUCUGUUGGUUUGACUAUGCAAAUGGUCACUAUUAGGCUUAAUCUCUUAUAAUUUGGUCGGUUCUGUUACAUUGAUGAUAUAUAACAACUUGGUAUUCAAAAGUUUUUCAUUUUAAGUAAUUUAGUUUGUCAUUUGACCAAGUUUGACCAAAACUCGUCUUGGAUUUUAAAGAAAUGUGCUUAGGAUUGGCUCAAAAAUAUCCAAAUAGAAAAAUGGACAAUAUAUAAAAUGUAGAUCUUGAUGAUCUCUAACAACUUUAUAUUCAAAAUUAUUUCAUUUGAAGUCAUCAAAUGGGCCAUUUGUUCAUGUUUAACCAAAGUCAAAGCAUUGGUUUUUACAAAAACACCCUUUGACCGAACCCUAGAUGGUCCCAAAUGGAAAAGUCAUUAAUACAAAGUUUGUUACACUCAUCAAGUUCUACAUUUUAUCUAAUGGUCAACUUUCCAUUUGGAAAAGUUUGAACCACUGAAUUUUGAAUUUUCAGAGAAUUCAUAGCCACGCAGCGGUUUCGGAACCCUAGAUGGUCUCGAAUGGAAAAGUCAUGAAUACCAAUAUUGUUCCACUCAUCAAAAUCUACAUUUAAUAUAUAGACCAUUUUUGCAUUUGAGAAAGUUUUGGGAAGGUGUAGUUGAAAAUCCACAAUUGACACAUAUAGUUUCAUAUAGUUUGUGUGAGAUUCAAGAAUUGGUGGGUAUUGUUAACUUAAACUUUCUCAAAUAGAAAAGUUGUGUAUAUAAAAAGUUUAGAUCUUGAUGAUAUCUAACAACUUAGUGUUCAAAAUUUUUUCAUUUUAAGUAAUUUAGUUUGUCAUUUGACCAAGUUUGACCAAAACCCGUCUUGGAUUUUAUAGAAAUGUGAUUAGGGUUGGAUGAAAAUUAUCCAAAUGUAAAAAUGGACAAUAUAUAAAAUGUAGAUCUUAAUGAUCUCUAACAACUUUGUAUUCAAAAUUUUUUCAUUUGAAGUCAUCAAAUGGGCCAUUUGAUCAAGUUUGACCAAAGUCAAAGCAUUAGUUUUUACAAAAACACCCUUUGACCGAACCCUAGAUGGUCCCAAAUGGAAAAGUGAUUAGUACAAAGUUUGUUACACUCAUCAAGUUUCUAUAUUUUGUCUAAUGGUCAACUUUCCAUUUGGAAAAGUUUGAACCACUGAAUUUUGAAUUUUCAGAGAAUUCAUAGCCACGCAGCGGUUUCGGAACCCUAGAUUGUCUCGAAUGGAAAAGUCAUGAAUACAAAGUUUGAUACACUCAUCAAAAUCUACAUUUCAUAUAUAGACCAUUUUUGCAUUUGAGAAAGUUUUGGGAAGGUGUAGUUGAAAAUCCACAAUUGACACAUAUAGUUUCAUAUAGUUUGUGUGAGAUUCAAGAAUUGGUGGGUAUUGUUAACUUAAACUUUCUCAAAUGGAAAAGUUGUGUAUAUAAAAAGUUUAGAUCUUGAUGAUAUAUAACAACUUGGUGUUCAAAAUUUUUUCAUUUUAAGUAAUUUAGUUUGUCAUUUGACCAAGUUUGACCAAAACCCGUCUUGGAUUUUAUAGAAAUGUGAUUAGGAUUGGCUCAAAAUUAUCCAAAUGUAAAAAUGGACAACAUAUAAAAUGUAGAUCUUGAUGAUCUCUAACAACUUUGUAUUAAUUUUUUUUCAUUUGAAGUCAUCAAAUGGGCCAUUUGAUCAAGUUUGACCAAAGUCAAAGCAUUGGUUUUUACAAAAACACCCUUUGAACGAACCAUAGAUGGUCCCAAAUGGAAGGGUCAUGAAUACAAAGUUUAUUACACUCAUCAAGUUCUACAUUUUGUCUAAUGGUCAACUUUCCAUUUGGAAAAGUUUGAACCACUGAAUUUUGAAUUUUCAGAGCAUUCAUAGCCACGUAGCGGUUUUGGAACCCUAGAUUGUCUCGAAUGGAAAAGUCAUGAAUACCAAUAUUGUUCCACUCAUCAAAAUCUACAUUUCAUAUAUAGACCAUUUUUGCAUUUGAGAAAGUUUUGGGAAGGUGUAGUUGAAAAUCCACAAUUGACACAUAUAGUUUCAUAUAGUUUGUGUGAGAUUCAAGAAUUGGUGGGUAUUGUUAACUUAAACUUUCUCAAAUGGAAAAGUUGUGUAUAUAAAAAGUUUAGAUCUUGAUGAUAUAUAACAACUUGGUGUUCAAAUUUUUUUCAUUUUAAGUAAUUUAGUUUGUCAUUUGACCAAGUUUGACCAAAACCUGUCUUGGAUUUUAUAGAAAUGUGAUUAGGAUUGGCUCAAAAUUAUCCAAAUGUAAAAAUGGACAAUAUAUAAAAUGUAGAUCUUGAUGAUCUCUAACAACUUUGUAUUCAAAAUUUUUUCAUUCGAAGUCAUCAAAUGGGCCAUUUGAUCAAGUUUGACCAAAGUCAAAGCAUUGGUUUUUACAAAAACACCCUUUGACCGAACCCUAGAUGGUCCCAAAUGGAAAAGUCAUGAAUACAAAGUUUGUUACACUCAUCAAGUUCUACAUUUUGUCUAAUUGUCAACUUUCCAUUUGGAAUAGUUUGAACCACUAAAUUUUGAAUUUUCAGAGAAUUCAUAGCCAUGCAGCGGUUUCAGAACCCUAGAUGGUCUCGAAUGGAAAAGUCAUGAAUACAAAGUUUGAUACACUCAUCAAAAUUCACAAUUCUCAAAUAUAGUUUCAUACAAUUCUCAGAAUUCGUACAUUUCUCAAAAUUCAUACAUUUUACAACACAUAAUAUUAAACAUGACUUUAUGUUAAGCCGACACAACAGUGAACUUCUUCUUGACGUAUGACCCUUGGUUAUGAUCCUGCCGUAACCAUGGAGUAUCCUCAUUGUUUAACAGAAUGCUUGGGUCUUUGUUGACUAUGAAGGGCAGAAUUUGAUCAUCCCUUUCGUAAUCGCCUGACAUGUCUGACUUGUCCUCAAUUCCGACAAUGUUUCUUUUCCCAGAAAGGACAAUGUGGCGCUUUGGCUCAUUGAUGAUUGAGUGGUCAUCAUUUUUUCCUCUUUUUGGUUUCGUAGACAUAUCUUUGAGAUAGAACACCUGACUCAUGUCUACAGCAAGGACGAAUGGUUCGUCUUUGAACCCACUAUUGUUAAGGUCCACGGUUGUCAUCCCAUACUCCUUGUCAACUUUUACCCCACCUCCGGUCAUCUUCACCCAUUGACACCGGAACAAAGGAACUUUAAAAUUAGCUACAUAGACUAGUUCCCAUAUGACUUCUAUGCAUCCAUAAUAUGUUUGUCUGUUCCCAUUUGGAUCCGUGGCAUCCACGCGUACACCACUAUUUUGGUUGGUGCUCCUUUUAUCUUGGCCAACUGUGUAAAAUGUGUUACCAUUUAUCUCGUAUCCUUUGUACGUGAGGACAUGCCAUGAUGGUUGCCUGGCCAACAAAUAAAGCUGCUCAUCAAUGUUUUCAUCACCUUGACAUUUUUUGCGCAACCAAUCACCAAAAGUUUCCAUGUGCUGACGCAUUAUCCAAGCUUCAUUCUUCCCGGGCCACUGGGACCGUAGGAAAUCUUUGUGUACCUCAACAUAUGGUUCCACCAAUGAGGAGUUCUGGAGAACUGUGUAGUGCUUUAUUGAAGUAAUCGUCUCCCGUACCAAUAUAUGUUUUCUUCCCAAGUGUUCCCUUUCCGCUGAGUCUGCCCUCAUGUCGAGAUUCAGGAAUGCCAAUUGUGUCAAGGUCUAGAAUAAAGUCAACACAGAACUCUAUGACCUCCUCUGUUCCGUAGCCCUUGGCAAUGCUUCAUUCUGGCCGGGAACGACUAUGGACAUAUUUCUUUAGGACACCCAUGAAUCUCUUGAAGGGGAACAUGUUGUGUAGGAACACAGGACCGAGAAUACAAAUCUCUUUGAUGAGAUGAACUAGGAGGUGUGUCAUGAUAUCGAAGAAGGAUGGAGGGAACACCAACUCAAAGCUGACGAGACAUUGAAUGACAUCAUUUUGCAGAGUAGCUAGUUGCUCUGGAUUGAUUGCCUUCUAAGAAAUUGCAUUGAGGAAUGCACAUAGCUUUACGGUGGCUAGACGUACGUGUGGAGGUAAAAUUCCUCUUAAAAUCACCGGCAGCAAUUGCGUCAUUAGAACGUGACAGUCAUGGGACUUCAAGUUCAGGAAUUUCUUCUCUGGCACAUUAAUUAUUCCCUUGAUAUUAGAGGAGAAUCCAGAUGGGACCUUGAUGCUGCUAAGACAUUCAAACAUGCUUUCCUUCUCUUCUUUGCUCAGAGUGUAGCUAGCAGGGCUUAAGUAAUGACGUCCAUCAUCUGUCUUUUCUGGAUGCAGGUUGUCUCGUUCUUUCAUGCGCUGCAAGUCUUGUCGUGCUUCAAGUGAAUCCUUAGACUUCCCGUAGACACCCAUGAAUCCAAGCAAGUUCACACAAAGAUUCUUUGUCAGAUGCAUCACGUCGAUCGCGUUGCGGACCUCUAGGACAUUCCAGUAAGGUAGCUCCCAAAAUAUGGAUUUCUUCUUCCACAUGGGUACGUGUCCCUUAGCAUCCUUGGGAAUAGGUUCGCUGCCUCGUCCCUUUCCAAAUACCACUUUUAUAUCCUUGACCAUUUCGAGUACAUCAUCCUCGGUUCGAUUGAGAGGUUUGGUCCGGUGGUCUGCCUUGCCUUUAAAAUGCUUGUCUUUCUUUCGUACUGGGUGGUUCACAGGAAGAAACCGACAGUGGCCAAGGUACACGACCUUUCGACAUUUUUUCAAAAAUACACAGUCAAGGUCUUCAUAACAAUGUGUGCAUGCAUUAUAUCCCUUGUUUGACUGGCCGGAAAGAUUACUCAGAGCUGGCCAAUCAUUGAUUGUUACAAACAGCAAUGCUCGCAGAUCAAAGUGCUCUUGUUUGUACUCAUCCCACACGUGAACUCCUGGUUUGCUCCAUAAAAGUUGAAGUUCCUCAACUAAUGGCCUUAGGUGACAUCUAUGUCAUUGCCAGGUUGCUUCGGUCCUUGGAUAAGCACCGGCAUCAUAAUAAACUUCCGCUUCAUGGAUAGCCAUGGAGGAAGGUUGUAGAUACAUAGAGUAACUGGCCAAGUGCUGUGACUACUGCUCUGCUCACCGAAAGGAUUCAUACCAUCUGUACUUAAGGCAAACCGCAAGUUUCUAGCAUCAUCUGCAAAAUCUGGGAAUUCUCUGUCUAUCGCUCUCCACUGGGAUCCAUCGGCAGGGUGUCUCAGCAUAUUGUCUAUCUUACGGUCUUCUUUAUGCCACCGCAACAACUUUGCAUUGUCCUUAUUUCUGAAUAGAUAUUUUAAUCGUGGUAUUAUAGGAGCAUACCACAUAACCUUGGCAGGAAUUUUCUUCCUAUGACGUUCAUCACCCUCAACAUCGCCAGGAUCAUCUCGCCUAAUCUUAUACCGUGAUGCCUUACAUACUGGACAUGCAUCCAAAUUCUCGUAUUCCUCCCCACGGUAGAGGAUGCAGUCAUUAGGACAUGCGUGUAUCUUCUGGAUUUCUAAUCCCAAAGGGCAGACGACCUGUUUUGCUUCAUACGUAGUGGUGGGUAAUUCAUUGCCUUUCGAAAGCAUCUUUUUUAUGAUCUUCAAUAACUGCCCAAAUGCCUUGUCACAUGUACCAUUCUUUGCCUUCCAUUGCAGCAAUUCCAGUGUGGUACCUAGCUUUUUUUGCCCCUCUUCAGCGGUGGGAUAUAGCGAUUUCCUGUGGUCCUCUAGCAUGAGCUCGAACUUGACUUUCUCUUUAUUACUUUGACAUUCUCUUUGUGCAUCACGGAUGGCAUCACCAAAAGCAUCAUCGCCCCGAUCAUCUUCUGCCGCUACCUCUUCUUCAUUAUCUCCCCCCAUUGCCACAUCAUUGAAGCCACCGUACUGAGCAAUAAUAUUGGCAUGGUCCAAUUCUCUUCUUCUUCUUCACCUUCAUCCAUUAUAAUCCCGCUUUCUCCAUGUUUGGUCCAACAAAUAUAGUUUGGUACGAAACUAGACUUUAAUAAGUGCGAAUGAAGAGUUCUUGAGUUAGAAUAUUCUGUCAAAUUCUUGCACACGGCACAUGGACAGCACAUGAAACCGUCCCUCUUAUUUGUCUCGGCCACACUUAAGAAAUAGUGCAUGCCAUUAAUGAACUCUUCGGAGCACCGAUCGGCAUUAUACAUCCAAUUACGUGUUACCAUCUGCAUUAAAUAUAACAUAUAUAUUAUGAAAACCAUGCACACAUAUAAUUUCUCAUCUUAUUGUACAACAUGCCUAAGAUACAUAGUUGAUUAAUUCAUGAAAGCUUGGCUACAACAAAUACAAUCGCAACUAGCACUAAAAAAACCAAAACUAAAAUGCACUUAAGCAACAUAAUUAGUUUGCGUCCGAUCCCAACUAUAAUAGAUAGAUCAUUCGCUUGAUCAACAUCAUUGAACUCCUUUCGUCGGCUCACUGCCUCACCACCUUCAGCCUCAACCACCUGUGCAAAAGAUUUCUUAAUGUGUUCAAUGUAUUCUUCCUCCCAGUACCAACUUGUACAUCCGCCGGUACCGUCCCACUGAAAUUAAAAGAGAUAAUCAAAAGUUUAAUUAAUAUCAUUUAAAAAAAUAUGCACAUAUAUAAGCAAAUGUCUGGAAAUAACUCACAUUACGAUCCGGACACUUGUAGAAUAUAUGACCCUUGUUUACUCCCUCUUUCGACACUUUGUACUCCAUCACAAUCUUCUGGCCACACUUGCCACAAGUAAUGAGAGGGAGUUCCGGCCGGUAUCACUUUUGAACCCGUUGAGAGACCGAAGACCCGGUCAUGGUUGCCAUCUACUAUCCAUACUCAAUUUUUAAACAAUUAUAAAUCCCACAUCUACUAGUAAACAUGUAUGAUUAAAGAAGAACCUAAUAAUAUCCUUUAUUUGUCUAGUUACUUCAACAAAUCUUCUAAAUUAUACAAUGGACAUUGUGUAGUAAUAAAAAUAAAUCAAUUGAUAUUAACAAACCAAUUAAUUUGAAUUAUCCUACUUUCUAAGAUAAUAAAAAGAUACUAUAAUUCAUUCUUGCAAACUACAUUAAUACUAGGUCAACCAUGAAAUAAGCAAGAACAUGUGGAUUUGAGCUAAAAAUAAAGGGAACAUCACAAGCCAAAAACAACAUGAAAAAGACAAGAAAGACAAAAGUUAGUCACCUCCAAACACGAAGAAACGAUGACGGAGUCGAAGAAGAUCAACGAUGGGCGUCGGAGAUGAAGAACAAGGAAGAACAAGCUCCAAGAACAACAAUGGUGAAUGGUGCUCUCGAUUUCAAAUGGGCAGAGAGGAGGAGGGAUCUGGCCUAUAAACCGGACCUUUAGCACCGGUUCAGGGCAAAAACCGGUGCUAAAGGUUCACCCUUUAGCACCGGUUUGUGUUACAAAUCGGUGCUAAAGGCUUUGCCUCGGCCCGUGGCACUGGCCGGUGCUAAAGGGGACCCUUUAGCACCGGUUUGUAACACGAACCGGUGCUAAAGGGUCCCUGCCCCGACAGCACCUGUCAGUAGCCGUUGGGCAGGACCCUUUAGCACCGGUUCAUGUUACGAACCGGUGUUAAAGGGGCCUUUAAGCCCGGGCCGCAAAAAGGCCGAGGUUUUUGGCCAUUUUGGGCAUCGACCAAUGCCUCAUUCUGUAGUAGUAGUGUGAGAUUCAAGUGCAUUGCAUUGAGAGUUGCAUCUAGUGGCACUUGAUCUUUGAGUUUGUUGUGGAUUUCUUGUUACUCUUGGGUGUUUCUCGACGCCCUAGACGGCUUGGAGCAGUAGUGGUGUUGAGCUCAUGAUUGGAGAUUGUUUUGAGCUUCGCCAAGUGAUCUGUGAGGGGUUUUUGAGCCUUCCCCAUGAGAGAUCGCAAUUGGCUACUCUAGUGGAUUGCUUGUGGCUUGGAGGAUCCCCAUCUUGUGAGUGGAUGUGUGGCACCCAUUGAGGGUUUGGCUUUGAAUUGCCAAUUAGCUCGUGAUCCAUCAAGUGGGUGUAUCGCCACAACGAGGACUAGCUUGCCGGGAAGCAAGUGAACCUCGAUAAAAAAUCUUGUGUCAUCUAUUGCUGAGGAUUCUAUUGUAAUUGUGAUUGAUUGAUUGGUUAUAUAUCUACUCUAAAAUGUUGGUAUAACAAUCACUCCCCUCUCCUUUACUUUUGUGCAUACCUUGCUAGUUGUGUAGUUUGUUUAGCUUAGCUAUCUUGUUUAGGAGUGUAGCUAGCUUCUAGUUGUGCUUUCUUGUAGUAACUUAGUGUUUAGCUUUCUUGCUAGAUUUGUGUAGGUGGCUUGCAUAGCUUAGUUGUGCUAGUGGUAGAAUAACUUCACCAUCUGUUUUACUAUUCAACUUGUCUAGUUGAAGUUUGUAGAAAAUUUAAAUAGGCUAUUCACCCUCCUCUAGCCAUUUGGACCUUUCAAGUGGUAUCAGAGCUAAGGCACCAUUUAAUUGAGGCUUAACAACCUUUGGUGAGGAAAUGGCUCUUAGUUUGCAUAUCAACAACACCAAGAAGGCACCUUACUUUGAUGGCACAAAUUAUGCAUAUUGAAAGGUCAAGAUGACCGCCCAUCUCAAGUCAAUCAAUAGAGAUGUUUGGAAGGUGACUGAAACAAAGUUCGAGGUUGCAAAUGAGAAUGCACCAACACCAGUUGAAGCGAAGAAGCUACAAUGCAAUGAUAUUGCUAUUAGUGCUCUUCAUGAAGCUCUUGAUGACAAGACCUUUGAGCAAAUCAAGAACAUUGAGAUUGCUCAUGAUGCUUGGGCAAAAUUAGAAGAAACAUUCGAGGGCACCAAAGGUACCAAGACCGCCAAAGCUUAUAUUCUCCAAGAGAAGUUCUCUAGCUUCAAGAUGCAUGAAGAUGAAAGUGUGCCGAAGAUGUUUCACCAGUUGCAAGUCAUUGUGAAUGAGCUCAAGGCACUUGGGGAAGAAGUGAAAGAUAGUCAAUUCUCUAUGAAGUUCUUGAGAAGCUUGCCCAAGAGAUUUGACACAUUGAUCACCGUGUUAGUCAAGACAACACUUAGUGAAUCAACUCCCCAACAAGUCUUUCAAGAGGUGAUGACCGAUGAUGCCUAUAGAGAAGAUGAUGAAAAGGAUGAGUUGAUCAAGAAGAAGAAGAAGGAAGGUGACAAGAAGGAUGAUGAGAAGAAGAAGAGUGUGGCAUUCAAGGCAUCCACAUCUAAGGGCAAAGCCAAGCAAGAAUGAUCAAGUGAAGGAGAAACAAGCUCUUGUGAUAGUGAUGAUGAUGAGGAGAUGGCUCUUCUUAUCAUGAGAUUUGGCAAGUUUAUAAAGAAGAAGGGCUAUCGAGAAAGAAGAAAGAAGAGCUCCUCCAAGAAGAAUGACCAUUCCAUGAGGUGCUUUAGAUGCCAUAGCAAGGAUCAUCUCAUCGCCAAGUGCCCAUAUGAUAGUGAUGAUGAAGAUGCUAUCAAGAAGGAAAGAAAGAAGCAAAAGAAGAAUCAAGAAAAGAAGGAAGGCUCAAACAAGAAGAAGGGUGAUGCUCAUGUUGCAACUUGGGAUAGUGAUGACUCCUUAAGUGAUGAUGAGAGCACCAAGAAGAAGGGGCAUGCUAGCAUUGCAAUUCAAGGAAAGAGCUCCAUCUUCGACACUCCAUCAUGCUACAUGGCUAAGGCCACUAAGGUAUCAUCCAAUGAUGAGAGUGACCAUGCUAGUGAUAGUGAAAGUGAUGAUGAUGAAACAACUAAAGAUGAACUAAUCACUAUGCUAGAAGAUUGCACUCAUCACUAUAAAGAAACUAGAAGGGAGUGCAAGGCCUUGCUUAAGGAUAAGAAAACUCUUAUGCAAGAACUUGAUGAGCUUAGCGAGUCUUAUGAGAGUGUAAAGGAAGACCAUAAGAAGCUUUAAAAGGCUCACACUAAGCUUAAAGAAGCUCAUUCCUCUCUAGUUGACAAAUGUGAAUCCAUGCCAACUAAAGUUGAAAAAGCUAAAACUUGCAACAUAGGCAUAACAUGUGAUAUCUUGUGUAAGCCUAAUGUUAUUGCUUCCACUAACCCUUCAUGUAGCACAUCUACAUCAUCCUCAUCUAGUAGUGAUGGUUUCACUGGUGACACCACACUAAAAGUUGAGAAUGAAAUUCUCAAGAAGGAGGUGAAAGAGCUCAAUCACACCUUUGCCAAGGCUUAUGGUGGUGAGGACCGCUUGCUUAUGUGCUUGGGUAGCCAAAGAGCUUCUCUAUAUAAAGAGGGAUUAGGCUAUAACCCCAAGAAAGGCAAGGCCGCCUUUGCUCCACACAAGACACAUUUUGUGAAGAACAAUGGCCAAUAUUGCAAAGCUUGCAAGCAAGUUGGUCACUUAGAGCAACAAUGCAUGAACAAGAAACCCAAAGCUAAUGUAUCCUUAAUUAAGCUUAAUUCUUCCUACAUGCUUACCAAGGAUACAAAAAGGUGUUAAUGCUAAGUUCAUUGGUGCACCAUGGAUGGGCUCAUAGAAGAAAGCCAUUUGGGUACCAAAGAGCUUAGUUGCUAACCUUGGAGGACCCAAUCAAGUUUGGGUACCUAAAAUGAAUUAAUCUUGUCUUGUAGGUCAAUUACAAAGCCAGAGGAAGGCAUUGGGUGCUUGAUAGUGGGUGCACUCAACAUAUGACCGGAGAGUCUUGUAUGUUCAAAUCAAUUGAUACUAGUCAAAAUGGUGUCUUUGAUUCAAUGACCUUCGGAAACAACAAGAAAGGCAAGGUCAAGGGGCUUGGUAAAAUUGCUAUCUCAAAUGACAUGAGCAUAUCAAAUGUGUUGCUAGUAGAAAGCCUUGAUUUCAAUCUCUUGUCAAUUGAACAACUUUGUGACCUUGGUUUCAAGUGCAUCUUUGGUAGUGAUGAUGUUGAAGUGGUUAGUGUUGAUGGAUCAAACUUGAUAUUCAGAGGAUUUAGGCAUGGUAGCUUAUACUUGGUUGAUUUCAAUGAUAGUGACAGUCAAUUGACAUCUUGCCUAAUUAGCAAAUCAAGUUUGGGUUGGUUGUGGCAUAGAAGGCUUGGUCAUGUUGGAAUGAAACAAUUGAACAAACUUUUGAGGCAUGAAUUAGUUAGAGGCUUGAAGGAUGUCACUUUUGAGAAGGAUAAACCAUGUAGUGCUUGUCAAGCCGGAAAGCAAGUUGGAAAUGCACAUCCUAAGAAAAGUGAAAUGAGCACAUCAAAGGCAUUUGAGCUAUUGCACAUGGAUUUAUUUGGGCCAACAACAUACACUAGCAUUGGUGGCAACAAGUAUGGAUUUGUGAUAGUUGAUGACUACACUAGAUACACUUGGGUGUUUUUCCUCUAUGACAAGAGUGAUGUUUGUGAUCUAUUCAAGUCUUUUGUCAAGAGGGUGCAAAAUGAGUUUGAAACCACUAUCAAGAAGAUUAGAAGUGACAAUUGUAGUGAAUUCAAGAAUACAAGAAUUGAGGAAUUAUGUGAUGAUCUUGGCAUUGGACAUCAAUUCUCUCCAACAUACACUCCUCAAUCCAGUGGUGUACUUGAAAGGAUGAAUAGAACUUUGAUUGACAUGGCUAGAUCAAUGCUUAGUGAAUACAAAGUUAGUCAUUCAUUUUGGAGUGAAGCCAUCAACACGGCUUGCUAUUGUAGCAACUGUCUCUAUUGCCAUGGGAAGCUUGGGAAGACACCAUAUGAGCUAUUGAAUGGAAGAAAACCCAACAUUGCAUACUUUAGAGUGUUUGGUUGCAAAUGCUACAUUCUCAAGAAAGGCACUAAGUUGAGCAAGUUUGAUAAGAAAUGUGAUGAAGGGUUCUUACUUGGUUAUUCCACCAUAAGCAAGGCAUAUAGAGUUUGGAACUUGGCAAGUGGCACAUUGGAAGAAGUUUAUGAUGUUGAGUUUGAUGAAACUGAAGGAUCUCAAAGUGAAGCUCAAAAUCUUGAUGAUGUGAGAGGAGAUCAAUUGGCUAAUGCAAUGAGAAACAUGGAUGUUGGUGACAUAAGGCCAAGGCAAGUUGAUGAUGAUAGUGAUAUUCACAUGAUCAAUCAAGAAGUGCAAAUUGAUAUAAAUCAAGCUAGUACUAGUGGCUCUCAUGAUGAUGGUCAAAAUCAAAAUAAAACAAGUUAAAGUAAUCAACUCCUAAUACUCCAACCUACAAGCAUAGCAAGAGAUCAUCCAUUGGAUCAAGUUAUUGGUGGAAUUCAAAGUGGUGUACAAACAAGAUCAAGGCUAGCAUCCUUUUGUGAGCACUACUCAUUUGUCUCAUUUGAGGAACCAAAGAAGAUAGAAGAUUGUUGGCAUUUCUUAGUGUCACUACUAAAGAUAGACUAUAAAUCCAUCAUUAUCAAUGGCACUAGAAAUGUUGGGUGUUGGUAUACCAUAACUAUCGUUACGUCAGUGAGAUAACCCAAGGCCUUUAACGACGCCGGCAUUAGCAGUGCAUUCUGGUAACAAUAAUUAGGAAUGCCGGAUUGGCCAUCCUAACCAUCCUUACUUACGAUAUGCAAAGCUGUAACAUAGCGCUAGAUAAAUGCACAGAGUUUACAAUCUUAAGUAACGGUACUUAGGUACACCAAUCAAUAGUUCAUGAAUAUAAAGAAUAAAACUGCAAGCGAACAGAACUAUCAUUGUAGCAUUUCAACCUGUGAGUAUUCAAGGGUUAUCAUAUUUAAUCCCAUAGGAGGGCGUAACAAAUGCAUCUAGCUUGGUUUGCAUAGGUAGACAUAGUCUAAUCAGGGGUCAUGACAGGCUCUUAAAAUAUGGAUAGUGGACACACUCAUCAGGGCAACCUCAAGGAAUAAAGAGAAAAAAAGGAAAUAAAAGAAAUAAAGAACAACUACUUGAGCCGGCAUUGAUCUUAUAUAACUAUGCAAAGAGUUGUUAGUAGAACAUCUAAUCAAUAUAACUAGAGUUAGAACUAAGUCUGAGGCUCUGGGGAGAUCCCCACAGCUGGACAUUCAGCUGAUAGGGACUUUACAGAACUCCUACCGGAAUACCUGAUCGUGGCUGAAUACCAGGGAUGACAGGGCUGUCACUACCCUGCCACCUACCCCUCUACCCGAAAGAUACCCACACAUCCGCUGAUCUCCACAUACCCGAGCACCUCGCCCGUGUAAUUGGAAACGCCUCCUAGCCUCCCGGGACCCCAACCCUUCGGAUUGACAGGCUCGGCUAAGAGUGGCCAUCACAGCCCAAUGAACCGUUACCCCAAUCUUAAUCCUUUGUCUAUUCAUACUAAUUCGAUGAACGAUGAAGAACAAGGAUGAACACAUCAAGAACAUAGCACAAGAACUAAGAACUAGUUCAUAUACUAUGAACAAGAUAUGAACACAACUAUACUCUAAUUCAAUUGCAUAAUCAUAUAAAUAAGAUAAGAACUUGCUCAUGGAGGAGAACUGAAUUGUAUUCAUACCAAGAAGCUCUAAGAUCCUCCAAGGAGACAAGCUCUCCUUGCUAGCUUUGCCUUGCUCUACUACUGAAUCUAAACUAAAGAACAAGUGUAUAAAUGUGAGGUGUAUUGCUCCAAAUGAUGGUUGUCUUGAAUGGUGUGGAGCCAUCUAUUUAUAGCCCAACAAGGACGGUUCAUGGUGAUCUAAAUUUGGUAGGAGGUGAAACCGUCCUAUGCAUGCUGCCAUACAACCGCCUGAAAAAGGUGGGACAAAGUUGCCGCCACGGGGCACCACUGGUGGGCCCCCUGACCACCGCAUUCGCAUGGUCGGAUCAUCUCUGGGCCCUCAUCCUCCUGUUGUUACGGAUGGAUCCAGUUCGGUGUUUUGGUGGGCUUUUCCAUUUAUCUUUGAUUUAUGCCUUUUCUGAAUACGCUUUCUUGAAGUCACUGGUACAGGGAAGGGCUUUAGCCCCGGGCCAUGAGGGCCUUUAGUACCGGCUACUGUUGACAUUCGUUAAGUACAAUAAGAAUAAGAAAAAUUCCGCAAGCACACAGAACAUCAUCAUAGCAUUUUACCGGGAGUAUUCUAGGUAUCGUUAUUUAUAUUUUACCACUGCGAAGCUAAGGUCAAAGAAUCUGAUAACUUACUAUCACGCAUCUAUUAAUUUAAUAAACCAACUAGACUAAAGUAGGGGUAAAUGAUAUAUGAUAGGUAAUAAUAUAAAGGUGAGAAUUCUAUGAUAAAUGCGUAGAUAGCCAUAGCGGGAGGACAACGGGAGAGAUCUGGGUUCCUGUAUACUUCUCUAUUACUUCAGUUCUAUGAUAACAAAGAAUGAAUAGAUAUAGCAAUCACAUAUUAGCACUUUGGGACAUCAGAACACCAACCACAGAAAGAGAACUGGAAGGGGGCUGGAAAGCUUUGACUACGGUCCUACAAACACCGAUCCGAACGAGGUGGAAUACGUCGACCGUUAGGGCUGUCACUACCCUAGGGCUACCACAACAAUCUGCAGGACUGGGUGUAACCUCAGGUAACCUCUAGUAUAGACACCACGUCUACACUAACGAUUACUACUCUAAUUACCAUGAAUAACUUGAGCACUCGAUGCGAACGGAGAUCCUAUGCCAAAAUAUAACAACUACACUACUCGAUAAUAAUAAAGGCAUAAAAGUAAAUAGAGAAGAUAAAUAUAUUAAAGCAUAAGUCUUACAAUAAAUAUAAAGACAUACCAAAACUCUGAAGACUUCUCCAGAACCGAAUUGCAGCUCCGCUCUCCCUAACUCCCGACUAGAACUAAUCUACUACAUUGGAAUGUCUAGCCCUAAUUCUCUAUAGAGGAAAGGUUAUCCUUCGAGGGCACCUAUCAACUCUAUAAUGAUAUGUUCUCCUCCAGGGGCCAGGGGCCUUGCUUAUAUAGUCCUCCUCCUUUGUGCGUUUUUGGUUCAGUCCUUCUUUUAUUAAUAUCUCUUGAUUCUGAACUCUAAAUAUAGAAAAUAAUGUAUGCAUUUCGAUCAGCUCGACGUGAUCUUUGUAAUGGUGUACUCCAUUCUGUGAUUGGUGCUUGUACCAGGGCGGGCGCCCUAGGAUCAAGGGCAGGCGCCCUGGUCCCAGGCCGGUCUCGGCUCCGCUUCGGUCGAGUUGCUUCUAGAGUAUUCCUGAUUAUGGAAAAUUACCGCACACAUUAAUUCUCUAUGUAAACCCGACGUGUGGGCCUUUCCUUCGUAUUUCCUGAUAACCCCCUGCAGAAAUAGACAAACACCAAAACUCGUAGAAAUCUGUCAGAUGAAAUCCUAAGUCUAGGUGUCGGUUGCAUUUGGAUCAUUUUUCAUGAUUAGUUGACGGUUAAAUGUGAGCAUUAAGGACCGUCAACAAGCUCCCAUAAGCUUAACCUUUGCUCGUCCCUGAGCAAAGAUGGACUCAAGAGUUUCUGCUGUGGUUUCAUGCCUUAAAGGUACACAUGCAUGCAAACAAGAUCUCAUCUCUGGGUUAGGGUAAACUGUUAAGGUUUAAACUUACUCAUUUUACCUUCCACCAUGGGGCUUGCAACCGUCACUUAUGUCUUGAGCAGUUAAAAGAUAGAAUGGUCUAGUCAAGCGCCAUGUCUCUUGUUCUUCGAUUAACUAUAGCUCUGGAGUUUUUACAGAUUUUCAAAUAAAACUCAGAGAUUCCUUGUAUGACUCUCUCUAGUCUCUCUUUUGUGGUAUUUCUAGAUCCUUACCGAGGCAAUGAUGGUGUAUACCUUCUCUCAAAGUAUGUGGUAUUUUUGGUAUGAGGCAUAGUGACAUUGCCUUCUCUCUCACCCUACUCCAAUAAGGUUUUGAUAUCUGGAGCUCAUAGGUGGGAGAUAAAGUAUACAUACUUACAAGACAUUUAUUGCAUAGUCAAACCAUGGAUCCAGAAGAAUAAGUCAAUAAGUCAAAUCAAGAGGUGCAUGUGUGGCGAAUGAAUGGUGAUAAUGGUGAAAAUAAUGGUGAAAGUCUAAUUCUACUUUUGCUCUUUUGAGGGGGUACAUACCUUUCUUGCACUUGAGGCUUUUGAGGGGAAUGAGACGCUCUAUAUUUUAUUUUUCUUUUCUCUCAGGUGGGUAUCUUGUACCCCUAAUUCUACUGUUGGACACUUGUCCAUUUUUACCUCUCGUCUCAUUUUUUCUUUUUUUGAGGUUUCGGGCACUUGCCCCUUUUUAUUUCCUCGUAUUCACUUUUUUUUCAGAGCACUCACCCUUCUGGAAUAAUGUAGCAAGUGGUAGUAACCAAAAUAUCUUGAGCAUUUAUUUCACGGGGAAUAACAGGGUAGGAUAAUGUUUUUGGCUCUUCUCUCCUAGAUAGGAGUAGAAUAAUUUUGGGUGAAUCUGGAUAUGGAAAUGAGUGGAUGUAUGCGGAUGCGUACUUCUGGAGUAGAAGCAGCAUGUAUGAGUGAACGUGCAAGUGAAUCUUGAUUUUAACCGCAUGACAAGCUCCUAAGGGUCUACACAGCUUGACCACACUCAAUGCUCAUAAGCAGUAAAAAGUAAAUGUAUGGUUCAUAGUCUAAUAAGCUUGUAUAUAUGGCUGUGGUAGGAUUUUAAACUCUCAUCAUACAGGAACUCAUCAUGCAACAUUUUAAAGAUUUUCAAAGAUAAAAUUCUCUAGAAUUCUAGCAUCUCUAGGAACAGAUAAACAACAGCUCAACCUUCCCAUAUCACAUCUGUUAACAACUUAGACUUUUGAUCAGGUACUCUUCUCGCAAAUUCAGGUUUAGAGUAAGCUUUAAAUUAUAACAAUUAUGCCUAAACUUGAGAGAGAGCUCAAAUUUGAAAACUAGGUACUUGGCAGAGCAACUAUUCAUCAUAUCCAUAUAAGAGUUUAUCAUUGAAGUUCAGUUUGGCAUAGACACUUAAUUUAUUUAUUUAGCAAACUAAGCAAAGUUAUUUAUAAGCACAAAAUGUUUAAUUCUGUUUUUAUGAUUAUGCAUCUUUUUAUUAUUUGAGUAAAGUAUAAAUGUGAGUAGAAACACUUAGCUGGAUAAAUGGGGGUG